rnacentral:lncRNA from 1 species
GUUUCAAUUGUUGGAUUUGGAGGCAUGGGAAAGACAACUCUUGCCAAUGCAGUGUACAAAAAGAUUAGAGCACAAUUUGAUUGCUAUGCUUUUGUUUCUGUUUCUCAAACUCCUGACCUGAAGAGAUUAUACAACGGCUUGCUAUAUGAUCUUGGCAAGAGCAUCAAUGAGGAAACAUUGGGUGAGAGGCGGCUCAUAGAAGUACUCAGAGAAUUCCUUGAAGACAAAAGGUAUCGAAAGCAUUCCUUUCGCCAAUUUAUACAUUUGAACUUUUUUUACUGAUAAUUUAUACCCUCCGUUCACAAUACUAUAAGUCUACAUAGGGUUAAUUAAAUGUUCGUGGCACCUAUUAAAUUACAAAAUACAGCCACUUAAGCUUUACCACAGCAUUAUUAAGUGCAAAUAAUUUCCUCACUGGACCUCGUUUAGUUUUGACAAAAUUCUGAGUUGACUUAUUUUAUCCACAGACUUGCCAAUUCAGCUGCCCCCGAGCUAUUUUAGUUUAAUCAUUAAACCAUUAGCAGUGGUCUAGUUUGCUUAAUUUUCUUGUAGCUGGUACAUGAACAACAUUAGAGCUUUCUUCAGUCCUUAAACCACUAUUUCUGACUAAUAACUUGGCAUAUGUGUAGGUAUUUUGUUGUUGUUGAUGACAUAUGGGAUAUAUCAGUUUGGAAAAUGAUUAGAUGUGCUUUGCCUGAUAAUGAUGUUGGAUACACUAUUAUUACAACCACCCGUAUUUCUCAUGUUGCUGAACAAGCUGGGGGUGCUUACAACAUGAAACCUCUUUCUUUGAAUAACUCCCGAAAACUACUAUAUAGAAGAAUAUUUGGUAGUGGGAAUAAAGACAACAAUGAAACAGAAGAAAAAUGUCAUAAGGAGAUGGCCGAAGUAUCUGACAGAAUACUGAAAAAAUGUGCUGGUGUGCCAUUGGCUAUAAUUACGAUGGCUAGUUUACUAGCUUGCAAAGCAAGAAAUAAAAUGGAGUGGUAUGAGGUGUACAAUUCUGUUGGUACUGGUCUGGAAAACAAUCUAGAUGUGGAGAAUAUGAGAAAGAUUUUAUCAUUUAGCUAUUAUGAGCUACCAUGCUAUUUAAGGGCUUGUUUGUUAUAUUUGAGCAUGUUUCCUGAAGAUUAUGAAAUUGGGAAGGAUCGUUUGAUAAGGAUGUGGAUAGGUGAAGGUUUUAUCCAAUGUGAAAAAGUAGGGAAGAGCCUAUUUGAACUCGGAGAGAGUUAUUUUAAUGAGCUUAUAAACAGAAGCAUGAUCCAACCAAUAUAUGAUAGUAAAAAUGAUAUGAUAUCAAGCUGUCGUGUACAUGAUAUGGUGCUUGAUCUUAUCCGCUCCUUGUCAAGUGAAGAAAACUUUGUUACUAUACUAAGUAAUAUGGGAGGCACAUCUCCAUCAAAUACGAUUCGGAGGUUGUCCCUUCAGAAUGGUCAGGAAAGUCAUGUGAUGGCUCAAGCUACAUGGAGCUUGCAACAUACAAGGUCAGUUUUUGUCUUUCCAACUUCUAUUUCUCCAGUGCUACCUCUUGACUACUGCCGAGUUUUACGUGUUCUGGAUUUAGAAGGCUGCAAUCUUUCACAAGCUAAUAGUAUCCUUAAGUGCCUUGGGAAUAUACAUCACUUGAGGUACUUGGGACUUCGUCGGACAGGUAUUUCUCAGCUCCCAGAAGAAAUAGGAAACCUGCAGUUUCUACAAAUAUUGGAUGUAAGGCGCAACAAUAUUUUCAGGUUGGCUUCGAGAGUUGUCCAGCUAAGAAAGUUGAUGUACCUAUACAUUGACCGGUCUACAACAGUUCCAAACGGAAUUGGAAAUCUGACAUGCCUUGAACAGCUGUCAUGGUUACGCAUUAAUGACUCCACUAGAAACAUUAUACAAGAGUUGGGCCAGCUAACUGAACUGAGGCAGUUGUCCAUUGAAUUGGACAAGUGGAACGACAAGCUGUUGGAGUGCCUAUGCAAGCUACAAAAGAUGCAGGAACUAGUUAUCACGGUCCGUCAUGGUCAACGCAGCAUCGGCAGAUUGGAUGCUUGGGUCGCCCCUCGACAUCUCCGCGUAUUUCAAUCACCAGACAACUGUUGGUUUUCAACACUGCCAGCUUGGGUGAAUCCAUCGCUUCUUCCGGACCUGACCUUCCUAUCCAUCGACGUGAGGGAGCUACAUCAGGUUGAUCUCGAAAUCCUCGGGAGGUUGCCAGCUCUCCGCUUUCUUUCUCUGAAGAUGGACAACAAGAACCUUGGUAUCCUUGCAGGAUUCGUUGUUGGUGCUGGUGCAUUCCCGUGCCUUGUAACCUGUUACUUCUGUCAAUUUGUGUGGCCAGUGGUAUUUCAACAGGGAGCUAUGCCAAGGGUCAGAGAGCUUGUGAUCUGGCGGUUUUAUCUGCGGGAGGCAAGAGGAAUUGCCUGCACCGAUGGUAGUCUCGACUUGGGCAUGGGAAACCUGCCGUCGCUGCAAUAUGUCAAGGCUGACCUGCGAUGUGAUGGUGCUGGCAAGGAGGAGGCAGAGCAAGCCAAGGCUGCGCUGACGCAUGCAGCUCAAAUGCAUCCCAAUCAUCCCUUACAUUUGAUCCAUAUUACAGGUGCGCCAGCUCCUGAUUGUUAUUCCUUACUUCUCUCCUUCCCCUUUCUUCUAAACUGUAUUUGCGUUUAUUCCUCUGUUUGAGAUGGUCGAUCUCCAGCUGAUCUUUCACCACGCCUUUCUUCUAGCCCCUAUGCCUCAACUCUUCUAAUCUUCCUUUGGUAUAUUUCGGUCUGAUAUACAGAUCACGACUACUAUAAGACACUAUGCCGGAAGCUGGACCGGAGCAGAGCAGAUGUUUCGCCACGCAUGCAGAGGUUAAACUGCUCGGCCUUAGCUUUACCAGACACCCUCAACCUGCGAGUAAACAAUGAAUACUGCACACAUGCGUCUGUGACUUAGAGCUUUGAUCAUUUGUGCUGUAAUCCCUGACUAACUUCCCCCUCUGUUACAACUUACAAGAACUGUAAAGAAAAAAUAGAAACGCAGUUAACAUCACAUACAAUGAAUCACAUCCCAUCAACAGAUAUUUGUCUAAGCUUCUCUUCAUCUCCACUACGGCAUUGCACCCCGCAGCCUUCUACACACGACGUCUAUGUUUUUUGUCGUGUGAUUCUAUAAUGGAUGAAGAACUGGUUACAGGUGAUCCUCGGAAGGUCACUUGACCUUUUCCUUAAGGCCCGUCGAAUGAAUUUGUCCGCGUGCUCCCUCGACCACGCGUCCACGUCCAUCCCGGCCGGCGAUCACCAGUCAUAAUAAGCUGAUUAGGCUGAUAGCUAUAUGAUUGAAGCAGCGGCAGCACAAACUCGGGUGUGGGACGGACUCUGUUAUCGAGCGUCAAGCAUCAUCGUUUACAUGUUGUUCAGAAUUCAGUCAUAUGGUUCAGUUCACUUCUUGGUUGUCAGGUAUUUCAGGGAGCCAAAAGCUGACUAGACUCACUGAUGAAACAUGCAUGCAUAGUGCCAUUGGUUCACUGAUAGAGAACUCACCUUCCAUGCGCUCCCUUUUAUCCCGGUUUAAAGUUGAUCCGGGACAAAGGGGGACGCCAUGGUAGGUUCAAAUGGGGCGGAGCUUUAGUUCCGGUUGGUAUUUUCAACCAGGACUAAAGCUCCCCUUUCCUUUAGUCCCGGUUGUAACGGCUAGUUACCAACCACCGAUGGCGCCCCCCUUUUAUCCUAGUUGGCUUCCAACCGGGACAAAAGUGCCACCCUUUUGUCCCGGUUGGAGUUACCAACCGGAACAUUCCAACGGGGAUAAAAGGGUGAAGCUUUUAUCCCGGUUGGAAGCUCCAACCGAGAUAAAAACUCAUCCCCUAUAAAAUCGCAAGACAGAGACCUUUCUUCCUCCUCCAUCCCGAGCCACUCCACUCCACAAAGACAAAGGGCUCAUCCUGUCCAUGGCGCCGAAGCAAGCCUAGGGGAGGUGCUGCCGAAUUUUUCUCGAAGCAAUGGAUGUAUAACGUGGACAGAUGGAGCAUGAAGUUUGUUGAUGGCUUGCAUUAUUUUCUCGAAGUGGUCAAAACGAACAAGCCAGAGAACGGGUUCAUAUGUUUUCCAUGCUUCCAAUGUAGUAACAAGGACUUUUACAUGCACUUGUUUAGAUACAGUUUCAUGCCUAACUAUUUGGUUUGGACCAAGCAUGGCGAAAGAAGGGUUGUAAUUGAAGAUGACAUUCCAGACUGGGCUGCAGGCCAAACUUUUGCAGAUACUACAAUAGGCGAGGUUGAUGAAGAUAAGUUUGCAGAAGACGGCCCUACUGAUGUCACACCAGAUUUUAAGGACAAAGUUAAGUGCAUUAAAUACAUGUGCGCCAGGAUCAAGUUACACACAUAUACGACAUAAGUGAAUAACAAAGACAGUGCCAUAACGAAAUAAAGAGAGUAUUAACCAUUAUUACAUGAUAAGUUACACACAUAUACGACAUAAGUGAAUAACAAAGACAGUGCCAUAACGAAAUAAAGAGAGUAUUAACCAUUAUUACAUGAUCGAAAGUCUCAAAUAAACUACAAAGUUUAAUUAUUACGCAGCGGAAGUCCAAAAGUAGCGACGGCUCCACAGGCAGCUGACUGAAGAACUAUACGCCUAGAACUCCUCGAAGUCUGGAAACUCCUCCAGAUUCACUUGGUCUGAACAGUGGUUUUGCAACGGUGAGUACACUUAUGGUUGGUAGUCAACAAGUCGUGGAGAACAGUGUAGUGUAAGGCUACCCAAGGUAUGUCUAAGGCAUAAUCAGCAUUAGCUUUUAAAUUAGUUGGUCAAGUUUUAGUAGCAUUUAACUAAGUGUAAGUUUAUACCACCCAAAAUGAAACAAGAACAUGAAUAAAAUAAUAACAUAACCAUAAAUGAAACAACAACAAUUUAAGUCCAUCAUUCGAUAAUAUUAUCAUGUGAGGGUUCAAGCCGCUCUUAACUAUGAGCACGGCUGAUCGAUCAGUUUUACACUCUGCAGAUGUUGCACAACUUUACCCACCUGUCGUGUAAAAGUUAAAAAGAACUUUGGACACAACCAUGCGGUGUCUGCAAGGCACCAUACCACACUUCCGAGGUGUGAUUGCAUAGGGACGCUACGAGGCCUUUACAAAGAUUCGCUAAUAAAAAGUAGCCCGCUAAGAUUUCCCCCCUAAUUUGCAACUGAAUUGCCUACCACUAUUAUUUAAAAAACUUAAAGUAACCCCUUAAUUUUGCAUCUAUAUUACCCACACAUGCCAUUAUUAAAAAUAACAUAAGGUAACCCUAUGUUUGAAUCAAAUAACCUUAAUUAAAAUAUACAGUAAUAUAUGAUUCUAAAUCAUCUAUAUCUUGCACUAUUGGUAUACGAUAUAAUAAUUAAGGUCUAUACACAUGAUGUGUGUCACCAUUUAUAAGGAUAUAUAAAGUGAUGAGAGUAUAGAUUUCUAUGCUAAAAUUGUAUCUCAAACUUAGGGUUCAUUAAACAAAUUUAAGCGCAUACCUGCGAUGCAAAGUGAAAAGUUAAAUAUUAUAAAUGUGGAUAAAAAUAUUAUAGAGUAAUUACUAACUAAAAUCUAUCACAAUUGGAUGAAGAUAUUAAGUAUAUAUCUCCAUAAGUAUUGUGUUCUAAUAUUUAACAAACGAGACAUAGCUUAUGGUAAUAGUUUUGUAGCAAUGUAGUCUCAUUUUUUUUCCAUUAGAGACUCUGCAUUAGUUCCCACAACACAAGCUAUAAAAAAGAGACAAAUUCUCAUAAAAAUUAAAAACAUCAAACACUAAUCAUUUAAACUCUAAUAAUCAUAGCCAUUGAUGUAUUAUAUUUUUUAAAAAGUUACCCACCACUGUCAUUGUGAAAAUAUUUAAAAAUAAGCUCUAAACCUAUUUUUAAUUUACCAAGCUUAGCUAUUAUAAAAAAUAAUUUAAAUAACCCCAUAAUCUUCAUCCAAUUUACUAAUACACAUCAUUAUAAAGAAUAACUUAAAAUGUCAUUCUAAAAUUUUAUCUAUGUUACCCGUGUAUGUCGUUAUUAAAAAUAACCUCAAGUAAACACCUAAAUCUUAAUCUAAUUAUCUUCAUGUGCAUCAUACAGAAAUAUCGAAAAGUAAACUAAUAUAUGAUUCUAAAUUAUCUAUUUAUGUCAUUGCAAUAUAAAAUACUAAGUUAAAGUAUAUACACAUGAUGAGUGCCACCGUUUAGACCAUUUAUACAUGUAUGUGAGGAAUCAAUAAAAAAUAUUGAUUUGUAUGCUAAACAUAAUGUAUGGAGGAUUGGAGGUGAGAUACAAAAUGGAAAAUGUAUGAAUAUGGAUGAAAAAAUCAAUCAGAACUGGACAAAGAUAGUUACAUAUCUAUAUAAGUAUUAUGUUGAAGUAUUAAAAAUAAGAGAGUAGUAGGUAAACAAUUUUGAUUAUUAGCUAGGAAUUUAAUUUCUAAAUAAUUUUCAAAUACAAUAGCUUCUAAAAAUAUUAGCCCGUACGGGAGCAUGGGUUGAUGGACUAGUAAUUUCUAAUAGCUAGGGUAAAAUACCAAAACACAAAAAAAUGAAAUUGUUUUCAAGAUUGGUCGACUUUUCUGUGAAUCAUUAUAUUACACGUGCCAUGUGUUUCUUCUCAGCGUGGUCUCAUGAUUUUCGACAAGCUAAACCUUACAGGUGGUCUUUUCUUAUUUCGUGUCAUAAAAAAGAAAAUAAAGAUAACGCAAGAAAAUGGAAUUAAUUCCAAGAUCGGUUGAAUUUUGUGUGAAUCAUUUACAUGCACAGAUGUGCCAUGCGUUUCUUCUUCUCAGUAACAUGGUGAUCUUCUGAUCGCUGGAGGGAUUCCUUGCUGCGUGUACACACAACACAAGACCACCAGUUCACGCAGUCACCAUUGCCAUUAGCUUGGUUCACCAGUUCACGCAUGCGCGCAACUGAUGGUGCAGGAUGACCAAGGAGGCAUGGUUUACUAGUUGCUGGGUCUUUCUUUGGGAUUUCAAACUUCAAACUACUUUUUCUCCCAAAUCAAAAAUUUAUUUUUGAAUCCGUUUGUAACACCCAAAAUUUUAGAGAAUUCAAAUUCAUUAAAACUUGCUCAAAAUAGGGUGUCAUUUAAAUUCUAGGCAUUUAAUUUCAUUUUCUUUAAUUUAAUUAAUUCAUCGUAGGAGUUAUUUGGGUGUGACACAAGGCUAUUAUAUAUACUCCCAAAGUCUUGGAUGUCACUGAGUAACAUGUAUUUCUCUUGCAAGCAGCUGUGCACAUUAGCCAGAGAACUCUGAAGUGUUGGAGGAAACCAAAUUACUAUGAUGAGUCUUGACUUGUGUAGCCAAAUGCAUCCGCCGUAACUCGGCAAGCUUGAUGGCCAUCUUCCGCCCGUUUAAAUCAUUUUUUCGCAAUUAUCUACUCUCAGCAGAGUAAACAAACCUGUUUAGCCCACAAACACUUCUACAUACGAUGGUACGUGUCAUUAUGGCGGGUGCCUUUUAUUGUAUCUAAAGUUGCAUUAAACAACGGCACCAAGCCCAUGGUAUCUAAUUGGUGCCGGCGGGUAUGAUGGAUUUCUGGUCUCACGGCUUGACGAAUAAACUGGAGGAGAAACCCGCCAUUAAGCAUUUACUCCUGCUUGUAUGGUUUGGUUAAGUUUUAGAUGCCGGUUCUUACGGAUAGGAGGGAUUCAUACUCACAUUCCUGAGGUGCUCUGAUAUCUUCAUAGGAUAAUGUUAAAUGUUACAACAUUGCAUCGAAAAUGAAGAUUUGAUGAGCGCAAGUAUGGAUGCACAUUUUCUUUUUAGAAACUAAGCAUUGCAUGUGGCGUUUUCUUGUUUCCUGUCAUAAAAAAGAAAAUAAAAAUAACAAGACAAAUUGAAAUUAAUUUCAAGAACAUUCGAAUUUUGCGUGAAUCAUCAUGUUUCACGGUCCAUGUGCUCGCAUGAUUUUUACGUGAAUUGGCAGCAUAAUUUCUAUAUAAUAGCUAGGGUAAAAUACCAAAACACGGAAAAAUGAAAUUGAUUUCAAGAUUAGUCAACUUUUCUGUGAAUCAUUAUAUUACACGUGCCAUGUGUUUCUUCGCAGCGUGGUCUCAUGAUUUUCGACAAGCUAAACCUUACAUGUGGUCUUUUCUGAUAUCGUCUCAUGAUCUAUUUUCCAUUCCGGCGGUCUGUGUGCACGGACUUCGCUGGAAGAGCAGGCCUCCGAAGCUGCGUCCUUCACCAGAGACUCUACACCCGAGGAGUAGAAGGCCGAUCAAGUUUUUAGGGAGCGCGUCUGUGUCACUGCUCAUCGUUCGUCUACGACUACUUCCUAGAGGUACAAUUGCACUGCAAACAUCUGCACGGCAUCGAGUUCUGAUCGACUACAUCGAAUAAGCUCAACUAGCAAUGUUGGGUAAUGGCGCAUCUGGUUCCUCAGGAACUGGCUCCGCCUCAGGGUACUUCCUUAUGAACUUCUUGGUUUAAUUCUUACAGUUCAUAGUAUCCAUUGCAUGCUUUAUGUUCACUGCAAAUAAAAUAGUAUGCUAUCUUUAUUGUCAUGUUUCAUUUUAUAUUCGGAUUAAACUGAACCGCAAAUUGUCUCUAAUUCCAACAUUGGCAGCAUAAUUUCUAAUAACUAGGGUAAAAUACCAAAACACGAAAAAAUGAAAUUGAUUUGAAGAUUUGUUACUUUUCUGUGAAUCAAUUACACGUGCCAUGUGUUUCUUCUCAGCGUGGUCUCAUGAUUUUCAAAAAGCUAAACCUUACAGGUGGUCUUUUCUUAUUUCGUGUCUAAAAAAGAAAAUAAAGAUAACCCAAGAAAAUGGAAUUAAUUCCAAGAUCGGUUGACUUUUGUGUGAAUCAUUUACAUGCACAGAUGUGCCAUGCAUGCGUUUCUUCUUCUCAGUAACAUGGUGAUCUUAUGAUCGCUGGAGGCACUACCGGAAACAGUAAGGUUGCCGAGUGUCUGAGGCACUCGGCAAAGGCCGAAAAACUCUCGGCAAAGAGUUCGCCGAGUGUAACACUCGGCGAACGGCACUUGGCGAACUUUCCUACGGCAAACGUGGAGUUGCCGAGUGUCGAACAUCGAGCACUCGGCAAAUAAUUUGCCGAGUGUCAAAAAGCACUCGGCAAACAUUUUCGGAAAAAAAAAAACCGCCGGCCGUCGGCCGCCGGCCACGGCCACGGCCACCACGCCGCCACCGGCUGCCUACGCCGCUGCCGCCCGCCCGCCGCCGCCCGCCCGCCGCCGCCCGCCCGCCGCCGCCCGCCGCCACGCGCCAGAUCCGGAGGGGAGAGAGGUGGGGGCCGCCGGAUCCGCGCCGGAGGGGAAGAAGGGGGCGCGGAUCCGGCCGGUGGGGAGUGAGCCGAGGAAGGAGAGGCCGGAUCCGGAGGGGAAGAAGGGGGCGGCGGCGGGCGGGGGCGGGGGCGGGGGCGGACGCCGGGCGGCGGUGGGGCCGGGGGCCGGGCACCGGGCGGCGGGGCGGGGGGCGCCGGGCGGCGGGCCGGGGAGCGCCGGGGGCGGGGGGAGAGAGCAAGAUCUGAGGAGGAGAUAGUGGCGGAAGAGAUAAGGCCGGUGCGGUGCGGGCCGGGAUAAGGCCGGCUUGCGGUUGGAAAAAAAAAACGGUCGCCGAGUGUCCUAGGGUGACACUAGGUGAACGGUUGUUUGCCGAGUGUCUACCCUAGGACACUCGGCAAAGAUAUUUUAAAAAAAAUUUAAAAAAUAUCUAACAGUUUUAAAAAAUUGUCAAAAAUUUACAUGAAAUAAUAUAUAUUCUCUAUUAACUAUACAAAAAGUUUUGUAGUCAAAUCAAAACUCAACCGUCAUUUUGACUCCAAAUCUUAUGCAAUCCUUGUCAACGUUACUAUUCUUCUUCUGAAAUGCUUCGGUUUGUAAACAUCGUACGUAAUGAAAUAUGCAAAACAUUCUCAAUUUUUUUUCCACAGCCUCCACCUAUGAUAUUAUCACAUCAUGACAAAUCUCAUGAUUUUCAGACUUUGCUUGUUUUUUUAUAAUUUAAAAAUACCACUGCCACACGUUCGUGGUCGUGUUUCCUGAACAAGAUGUUCGAAAUUUCUUGUCAUUUCAUGGGUCAGGUCUCAAAUUGGGCCGAAUAACAUGAAUAUCAUUUUUCUACUCAUUUUGUUCCAUAAUUUCAAUCAAUUGCAGUUCAAAUUUGACUUAUACCAAAAAUUUCCUUGAAAUGCAAUUAAUUAAAUAAAUAUAGCAAAUAAAUCCAAAAAUAUACCAAAUUUUAACAUGGAGUACCACAUGUUGUAUGUGGGGAGUAGAAAAAAUUUCAUGGUGAAAAGAGGAAAAAAAUUAUUUUUUUGCCGAGUGUCAAAAAAAACACUAGGCAAACCCCCCCUAUUUGCCGAGUGUUUUUUUGACACUCGGCAAACCCCUCUCUUUGCCGAGUGUUUUUUUUGACACUCGGCAAAGAGGGGGGUUUGCCGAGUGUCAAAAAUAUACUCCGCAUAAAGCGGGGUUUGCCUAAUGUUUUAUUAAAAACUCGGCAAAAAAUAGAUUUUGACCUGGCCGGGGAGUUUUUAUUUGCCACUCGGCAAAGCCCCAAUUUCCCGAGUGUAUUUUUUUUCCCGAGUGUUUUUGAGCUUGGCACUCGACAAAGAGCUUGUUUGCCGAGUGCUCGCAAAAAAACACUCGGCAAAAAAAAUACACUCGGCAAUUUUUAGCUUUCCCGUAGUGAGGGAUUCCUUGCUGCGUGUACACACAACACAAGACCACCAGUUCACGCAGUCACCAUUGCCAUUAGCGCCGUCCUUUGCGACGUGAACGCAAGACAGGGUGAUCAUGACUCAUAAGGAGGGUCAGGGUCACGGAUGUUAGUUGUAGACUUACCCACCACGUUGACGACGAAGAAUCCUUUUAAUUAUUCCAGGGUGGCAACUGGCAAAGCCCGACGAGGCUUACUAAAGCAUCCGUGUGUAUACCAUCAGUUAAUCUCAUUUCUCAAUUUCCUUCAGGUCACAUGACGUUGGCACCCGGUAAAAUGAAACACUGAUGCAUCGUGAAAAGAGCUCAUGGUUCCGGAAUGAGCAGUUUGUUGGAUGACUUGCACUGCUUACAAGAGUGUUAUGAAUAAACACUCCCAUGCCUUGGAUGCCAUUCAAAAUGUUACCAAACAUAUGUAGAGUAACCUGCGUUUCUCUUUCAAGCAGCUAUUUAUGAAGUAUUGGAGGAAACCAAAUUACAUGCUUUCACUUGUGUAGCUGAAUGCAUCCAUGACAAUUCGACGAGUCAUAUUAGCAUAUUCUUCCUUACUUCCUUACUCUGCCCUAUUGAAAUAUUUCUCUCACAGUCUGCUAAAAAAUUAGGGCCAACAAACACUUCUAUAUAAGAUGGCGCGAGCCAUAACAGUUGGUGUGGUAACUGUAUCAAAGCUUGCACUAAACGCUGGAAUUUGGCCCAUGGUGCUAAUAGUAUACAUGAUCGUGACGGGUACGGAUGGUCAUGAUGUAUUUGAGAAAAGAGCGUCUGGUUCUUGCUGACUUCGAUCGAUGGCAUGAUCAAUGACAUGAUCAAGUUUGCUACCUAGCUGGAUCUGGAUAAGAGCACAUGUGUAAUGUGGUGGUGCGGCACCAAAGUGUGGUGCUCGUUGUCAACCAAGCCAUCAAUCAUGGUUUUUUUAAAAAAAAAUGUCGGAUACAAGAACUUUUGUAUCUGUCUGACCUUGUUCAUCUUCACUAGACAUCACAACCAGCUACACAUGCAAACUAGAUAAUGCAAUCUUCUAUAUUAUUACUAAUCAGACUCAUUUUGGAGCCUCCAUGUCAACACUCAUGAGAUGCGCUAGAAAAAAAAAGAUAAAUCCUUGAAAUUCACAUAAAAAUAAAAUAUAAAAUAUGAUCACGUUUAUACAUAUAUAGUGGCAUAAGUUUAGCCACUUCUUAGUUUUCUUCGCUUCAUGUCUCACACGACAUUGCUGGCACCAAGCAAACAGAACACUGAUGACUAAUAGAUGAACAUUGUAAAGUGAACUCACGAUCCGGAGUGCACUCAUGAUAGAUGAAGGAUGCAUGAACAGUUAUUGGACGACUUGCAGCAACGGUUACAUGCUUGCAAGCUAGAUAAAUACCAAAGACUGUCAUAUAUACUCUCAUUCCUUUGCUGCCGUUCAAAUGUUACACGGUAGUAUAGUAUUAAGAGAAACUUGUGUGCAGGAUCUUUUUUUUUUGCAACUUGUAAGAACUAAGAACUAUGAACUUUGUUUGAUCUGAUCUUUGGUCAACCAUCACCUUUGGUCUGAACUUUUUUACCGGCGGCAGCACAAACUUGGGAGGGACUCUGCGGCGGAGCAUCAACCAUCACCUUUGAUCUGAUCUUCAGAGUUCAGUCAUAUAUAUAGUUCAGUUAACUUAAUGGUUAUGAGUCUGAAGGAAAACCGCAAUUAUUUUACAUUUUGAUAUCGCCAAACUCCUGCCAAAUGCCUAAUCCCUUUCAAAUGAUGAUAAAUAUUUUCAUUUCAGGGCGGCAAAAUCUGAAGAGGCUCACUGUAUAUUGUACAUUAGUGCUACUAUCAGUUCAGCACCUUCUUCAUUUCCUUGAGGUCACACCACAUUAGUACCAGCAAUCAAAACACUUACGCAUCGUCAGAUCAACUCAUGGCUGGUGAAUGAUCCAUGAACAAUUGUUGGAUGACUUUGCAUCAACGGAUGCAUGCUUAUAUUACAAGCCAGAACCAUGCUCAAGACUGUCAUACUAUCAUAUAUAUACUCCUGUGGCUUGGAUGCCAUUCAAAAAUGCUGCAAGAGGUAGAGCAACUUGUAGUUCUCUGUCGAGGUGUAAACGAGCUGUGUAUAUUGGGAGGGACCUCUGAAAUAUUGGGUUGACUACCGGAAACAGGAAAGUUACCGAGUGUAAAAUCUUUACCGAGUACUUUUUGUCGGGCACUUGGCAAACACCUCGUUUGCCGAGUGUAUAGGCGCGGACACUCGGCAUACACAAUGCACUCGGCAAACAACAGAUUUGCUGAGUGUCGUGGAAAACACACUUGGCAAAAAUCCAACCGACACUCGGCAACAAUUUGACACUCGGUAACUCUCCAGCACGUGGAUCGCACGUGCGCCGUCCGUUAGGGCAGUGUGCUGGCCAUUAGUACUUUGCGGAAUGUCCGUUACCGACACUCGGCAAAGUUAGAGGUUGCCGAGUGCUUCCUCUAGACACUCAGCAAACUUAGAGUUUUGCCGAGUGUUUUCCACCGCCACUUGGCAAACAUAGAGUUUUGCCGAGUGUUUCUGUUGGCACUCGGCAAAGACAAAACUUUCUUUUUCACAUCUGCCCUCCACACUUUUUCUACUCCUCGCAUACGACAUUUGGUACUGCAUGUUAAAAGUUGGUCUAUUUUUUGGUUUGUUUGCUAUUUUUAAUGAAUUAAUAUCAAUAAUAGGAAUUUGUUGAUUUAAGUCAAAUUUAACUGCAAGUGAUUGAAAUAAUGGAAUAAAAUUAGUGAAAAAAUCAUAUUCAUGUUAUUGAAUCCGGAUUGAGGUCUCAAUCAGGAAAUGAAAAGAAAUUUUGAACAUUUAUUUUAGAAAACAUUACCACGAACGUGUGGUUGAAUGGUUUUUAAAUUCUAAAAAAAGCAAACGAAGUGUGAAAAUUACAAGAUUUGUCAAGAUGAAGCUACUCCUGUGAGUCACUUUUCAACCAUACAAUCAAUUUAUAAUUAAACUAGAAAGUACGGGUACUAGAAACUUAUAAUAGAAAAGUGACUAAUGCAAUCUCUUUAACUUUGUGCAGAAUCAAUCGGCAGCAUCCAAUGCUUUCUUGGAGCCAUCAUCUUGGUCGCAGUGGUCACCUACACAUCCUCCUCAGUGACUUGUUUGAACGGCUAGUGUGUUAAGCAAACUUGUGAAUUACUUGUUUAGACUAGAACCUAUAUGUACUUGUGAAUGUUAUUUGUGUGCUUGUGAUGCUUGUGAUGCAAUCUAUAUGCCUGUGAUGCAAUUUAUAUGCAUGUGAUGCUUCUGUGGUUGUUAUUUGAGAGGGGUCCUUUAUAUGUAACGAAUCUGUUUUGCAGGUAGAGGAAGGACACUUUGCCGAGUGUUAACACUCGGCAAAGAGGUCAAUUUCUAUUAUUCUGGGACUACUUUGCCGAGUGUUUUUGUUACAACACUCGACAAGGCGCCAUAAAAUGCUGGCGGUAGCAGCUUCUUUGCCGAGUGCCUUGCCAACGACACUCGGCAAAGUUUAAAAGUUUGCCGAGUGUCAUGAGUACGGCACUCGGCAAAAUAUAAAUCUUCGCCGAGUGUCGAGUAGACAGCACUUGGCAACAUGGAAAUAUUCGUCGAGUGUCGGGGAGGAGGCACUCAGCAAAAUAUAAAUCUUUGCCGAGUGUUCUUCCGUCUGACACUCAGCAACAACUCCGUUACCGUGACAUUCCGUGAACACCUUUUUGCCGAGUGUUUGGUUUUGUCGAGUGUUUUUUGGCACUCGGCAAAGUCUUUGCCAAGUGCCUGACGUUUGACACUCGGUAAAGAUACUGUUUGCCGAGGAAAAAUUCGCCGAGUCCUUUUCGCCGAGUGUUACACUCGGCAAACGCUUUGCCGAGUGUUUUUAGGCUUUCGCCGAGUGCGUAGGGCACUCGGUAAACUUACUGUUUCCGUAGUGGUUAUUGGAGGUAACCAAAAUAUCAUCCUCAGCUUUGACCUGUGUGGCUUAGUUCAUUCUAGGUAACUCAGCGGGCGACGUGGGCAUAUGGCUGUGGUAUCUGGUACUUCCGCUUGUUCGGCCGUUUUAAUGGAUUCACGAUAAGUUAUCUUCUCAUGGUCUUUGUCGAGUACAACUGAUGUAAAACGUCUGACACAGUGUAUUGAAGCGGUCGAUCCUCUCUCAUUCUGAUUGAACUCUUGGAGAUAGCAUACCAGUAGCAAAAAUUCCUUCUUUUUCAAAUUGAACAGCAAAAACAAAAAUGAUACUGUGACAGAUAAAGGACUUUGCAGGAACAGAGAUAUCAUCUGUCGUUCAGUCGUGGAACCGACUCAUGAUAGAUAAAGGACAUUGCAGGAACAGAGAGGGACAGAGCCCGUCUCUGCUAACACUUGCCAACCUCUGUGCUUUGCGCUGGUCUUCUCUAGUUUAGCCAAUCUUUUUUUUUUUUGCCUGAUGCAAAACUGACUAAACUCUCGGUGAAAGAAAAAUUAAGGACUUCCACGAAGCAGGACUCUCUGGGCCUAGCACAGGCCUAAACACCAAGCUGCUGAGCCCAAAUUUAUUCCGCCAAUGUCUCCAUGAUGUGCUUCCUGGUUAGGGGUCAAGAACUGUCCUUUAUGACUUGAUCCGAUGCCUCGAUGGUGUGGUUAGCGACUUUUGCCUGACAGACUGAACUAUGUAUGAAGAGACUACAUUUUCUUUCUUUUUAAAAAUAAAAAGCUGGACUUCACAGGUGGCUUGGUUGUUGUGCCUGCGCGUAUUCCUUCGCUAGGCACCGAAUUUGCUUGCAUUCAUAGAGCUUUCACUUGUGUAGCUGAAUGCAUCCACAACGACUCGGCGAGGCAUGUGGGCAUAUUGUUCUUUACUUUUGCCUAUUCAAUCAUUUCUCUCACGAUCCACUACAAAAAUCAGAGUCAACAAGAUCGCAUGAGUGAUAAUAGCGGACAUGGUUGCUCUAUCAUAGAUUGCACUAAACACUGGAAUACGUCAUAUCUUACUAUUACUAAUUGGAGGCUCCUUUUGAAGCCUCCAGGUGAAGCCACCUAGGAUUCCUAGGUGGACACCCUAGAAAUCCUAAAAAUUCUCACAAAAAAGCAAAACAUCCAACCAUCAAUUGAUAUAUUCAAAUCAUCACAGCCAUUGGAUCUAUUAUGUUUUUAAAAAAAUUACCCACCUAUGCCAUUAUGAAAAUAGCCUAAAGUAACCCCCUAAAUCUAUAUAUAAAUUACCCACCUCUACCAUUAUAUAAAAUAAACUAAAGUAACCCCUUAAUCUUCAUCGAAAUUACCCACUUAUGACAUUAUAAAUAAUAUUUAAAAUAACUCCCUAAUUUGCAACUGAAUUGCCUACCACUAUUACUUAAAGUAACCCAUUAAAUUUGCAUCUAUAUUACCCACACAUGCCAUUAUUAAAAAUAGCAUGAGGUAACCCUACGUUUUAAUCAAAUAACCUUAAUUAAAAAUAUACAACAAUAUAUGAUUCUAAAUCGUCUAUAUCUUACACUAUUGGUAUACGAUAUAAUAAUUAAGGUCUUUACGUAUGAUGUGUGUCACCAUUUAUAAGGAUAUAAAGUGAUGAGAAUAUAAAUUUCUAUGCUAAAAUUGUAUCUCAAAAUUAGGGUUCAUUAAACAAAUUCUAGCGCAUAUCUGCGAUGCAAAGUGAAAAGUUAAAGAUUAUAAAUGUGGAUGAAAAUAUUAUAGAGUAAUUACUAACUAAAACCUAUCAUAAUUAGAUGAAGAUAUUAAGUAUAUAUCUACGUAAGUAUUAUGUUUGAAUAUGUAAGAAACGAGAGGUAGCUUAUGGUAAUAGUUUUGUAGCAAUGUAGUCUUAUUUUGUUCCAUUGGAGACUCUGCAUUAGUUCCCACGAGACAAGCUAGAAAAAAGAGAUCUAUUAUAUUUUAUAACCACGAGACAAGCUAGAAAAAAAGAGACAAAUUCUUAUAAAAAUUAAAAAACAUCAAACACCAAUUCUGUAAACUAUAAUAAUCAUAGCCAUUGAUCUAUUAUAUUUUCUAAAAAGUUACCCGACACUAUCAUUGUGAAAAUAUUCAAAAAUGAGCUCUAAACCUAUAUCUAAAUUAUCGAGCUCAGCUAUUAUAAAAAAUAAUCUAAAGUAACCCCAUAAUAUUCAUCCAAUUUGGUAAUACACAUCAUUAUAAAUCAUAACUUAAAAUGUCAUUCAAAAAUUUUAUUUAUGGUACCCACGAAUGUCGUUAUUAAAAAUAACCUAAAGUAAACACCUAAAUCUUAAUCUAAUUAUGUUCAUGUGCAUCAUACAGAAAUGUCAAAAAGUAAACUAAUAUAUGAUUCUAAAUUACCUAUUUAUGUCAUUGUUAAUAUAAAAAUACUAAGUUAAAGUAUAUACACAUGAUGAGUGCCACCAUUUGGACCAUUUAUGCAAGUAUGUGAGGAAUCAAUGAAAAAUAUUGAUUUGUAUGCUAAACAUAAUGUAUGGAGGAUUGGAGGUGUGAUACAAAAUAGAAAAAGUAUGAAUAUGGAUGAAAAAGUGCAUAGAGUAAUUAUUAAUUCAAAAUCAAUCACAACUGGAUAAAGAUAGGUAUAUAUCUAUAUAAGUAUUAUGUUGAAUUAUUGAAAAAUAAGAGAGCAGUAAUUAAACAAUUUGGAUUGUUAGCUAGAGUUUAAUUUCUAAAUAAUUUUUAAGUACAAUAGCUUUUAAAAAUAUUAGCCCGGGAGCACGGGUUGAUGGACUAGUGGUGCUAAUAGUAUACGUGUUUGUAACUGAUAUGGAUAGACAUGAUGUAUUAUUUGUUAAAAGAUCCUCUGGUUCUUGAAUAGUUGAUCAAUUACAUGAGUUUGCUACCUGGAUGUGGAUGACAACACAAGUGUAGUGUGGUGUCUAACUGUGGUGCUAGCAUGACAUGAUCAUGGUAGAUGAAUGAUCCAUGAAUAAUUGUUGCAUGACUUCCAUCAAUGAUCAAUGGAUGCAUGCAUAAAGCAACAAUACCAAAGACUAUCACACUAUCAUUUACCAUUCAAAAUGUUUCAAGAGGUAGACUUGUAGAACAACCUGUGUAUCUUGCUGUCAAGAUGUACUCUAAAGUAUUCAGCGACCAGCAAGCAUUGAGUUUGGUGGUUGUACCAGUAGGUGAGCGGUGGUGCAUUAUUACCUUCACCGUCCGCUUCCACAGAGCAUUGAGCUGGGUGGCUGCAGCAGCGACUUCGAAUCAAGGGAGCUUGGUCCGGCGACGAGCGGCGGGGAGCCUGCACCGGCGGCGACAAGGCUCCAUUGCGACCAGUACGUCCUUGCUCACGCAUUCUCGUUCUUUACAGCUACUAGGCCAGGAUCUUUUCUAGUAUUAAACUAGCCUAAGCAAGAAUACGUCUUCAACUCGAUUCGCAAGCCUGUGCACACACAUACAUGCAUCUCACUUUCUUGCGCUCAUCCAGGAGUGCUCAUCGGAGAAAUGGAGGUCAUGGCUGGGGCACUGCCAUGCGUCAUAAAAAAACUCGGUGAUAACUACUCACCGACAAGUUUAUACUACUCAAUUAACGUAUCCCAACUAAACUUUCUCCUAAACGAAGCAUUAAUUGGGUUAGUAAGCUGGCGAGAGCCGCUACGCGUCAUUCCACAUGCGAGCGGGCCCCACCAUGUGCGUCUCGUCCUCCACCUCUCACGCACCCUCUUCAACUGUCGGUGGAGCACCCUCUUCAACCUUCCCCCCGGGCAUCUGCAUCCCAUCGACCUCUGCUUCGUGCUCUUCAAUCUUCAAUCUUCUUCAUGCCCAUCCAUUCCCAAUAGGCAAUAGCUACAACCUACAAAAAGGCAGGGCGAGCACCCGCAUCCGAAGGAGCCCAAGCGGCCAUCCACAAAGAGGUAAAGAAGAUAUAUUAAUAUGAUUUCUGUCGUUAGCUUCUCUCCAAUUAACCUUACACAUUGGUCUUCCCCAGGGACAAAUCCAUGGAGAUCGUGACCGGGGCAAUUCCAAGCCUCCUGCACAAGCUCGGUGAGUUGCUAGUUGGCGAGUACAAUCUGCAAAAGGAGGUGAAGGGAGGGAUCAUCUUCCUUCAAGCUGAGCUCGAGAGCAUGCAAGGUGCCCUCGAGAAGAUCUCGAUGACACCAGCAGACAAGAUUGACGACCAGGACAAGAUCUGGGCUAGGAGAGUGAGAGAGAUGUCCUACGAUAUAGAGGACAAUAUUGACAAAUAUAUCGUGCAGUGCAAGGGGAGGAAGACGGCCGAACAGCAUAGCUUCAAGGAAGCCAUUGAUAGGACCCUCAACUGGUUCAGGCAGCCUAAGAUUCGUCGUAAGAUUGCUACAGAAAUCAGAGAGAUCAAGAGCCGUGUCAUAGAGGUGCAUGAACGGCGCCGCAGGUAUGAGGUCAGCCUUGGUGUUGAUAAGCCUGUAACUGUGGACCCUCGUUUAUUCGCUCAGUACACGGAGGUGAAAGAGCUUGUUGGAAUUGAUGAGGCAAGGGAUGAGUUAAUCAGCAAGAUUAUGAUAGAAGAGAAUGAAGUUCCCAAGAAGCAAGGCAGGAUAGUUUCAAUUGUUGGAUUUGGAGGUCUGGGAAAGACAACUCUUGCCAAUGUAGUGUACAAAAAGAUUAGAGCACAAUUUGAUUGCUAUGCUUUUGUUUCUGUUUCUCAAACUCCUGACCUGAAGAAACUGUACAAAUGCUUGCUAUAUGAUCUUGGCAAGAGCAUCAACGAAGAAACAUUGGAUGAGAGGCGACUCAUAGAAGCACUCAGAGAAUUCCUUGAAGACAAAAGGUACGAAAGCAUUCCUUUCACCAAUUUAUACAUAUGAACUUUUUUGGACUGAUAAUUUAUGCCCUCUGUUCACAGUACUAUAAGUCUAAAUAGGGUUAAUUAAAUGUUCAUGCACGUGGCACCUAUUAAAUUACAAAAUACAACCACUUAAGCUUUACCACAACAUUAUUAAGUGCAAAUAAUUUCCUCACUGGACCUCGUUUUGUUUUGACAAAAUUCUGAGUGGACUUAUUUUAUCCACAGACUUGCCAAUCCAGCUGCUCCCGAGCUAUUUUAAUUUAAUCAUUAAACCAUUAGCAGUGGUCUAGUUUGCUUAAUUUUCUUGUAGCCGGUAUAUGAACAACAUUAGAGCUUUCUUCAGUCCUUAAACCACUAUUUUUGCUAAUAACGGCAUAUGUGUAGGUAUUUUGUUGUUGUUGAUGACGUAUGGGAUAUAUCAGUUUGGAAAAUGAUUAGAUGUGCUUUGCCUGAUAAUGAUGUUGGAUAUACUAUUAUUACAACAACCCGUAUUUCUGAUGUUGCUGAACAAGCUGGGGGUGCUUACAACAUGAAACCUCUUUGUUUGAAUAACUCCCGACAACUAUUGUAUAGAAGAAUAUUUGGUAAUGGGAACAAAGACAACAAUGAAGAAGAAGAAAAAUGUCCUCAUGAGGAGCUGGCCGAAGUAUCUGACAGAAUACUGAAGAAAUGUGCUGGUGUGCCAUUAGCUAUAAUUACGAUGGCUAGUUUGCUAGCUUGCAAAGCAAGAGAUAAAAUGGAGUGGUAUGAGGUGUGCAAUUCUGUUGGUACUGGUCUGGAAAACAAUCUAGAUGUGGAGAAUAUGAGAAAGAUUUUGUCAUUUAGCUAUUAUGAGCUACCAUGCCAUUUAAGGGCUUGCUUGUUAUAUUUGAGCAUGUUUCCUGAAGAUUAUAUAAUUGAGAAGGAUCGUUUGAUAAGGAUGUGGAUAGGUGAAGGUUUAAUCCAAUGUGAAAAAGUAGGGAAGAGCCUAUUUGAACUCGGAGAGAGUUAUUUCAAUGAGCUUAUAAACAGGAGCAUGAUCCAACCAGAAUAUGAUCUUGAUGACAUAAUGAUACAAGGUUGUCGUGUACAUGAUAUGGUGCUUGAUCUUAUCCGCUCCUUGUCAAGUGAAGAAAACUUUGUUACUGUACUAAGUGAUAUGGGAGGCACAUCUCCGUCAAAUACGAUUCGGAGGUUGUCCCUUCAGAAUGGCCAAGAAAGUCAUGUGAUGGUUCAAGCUACUUUCAGCAUGAAGCAUGCAAGGUCGGUUGUUGUCUUUCCAGCUGCUGCUUCUCUAGUGCCGCCUCUUGACUGCUGCCGAGUUUUACGUGUUCUGGAUUUAGAGGAUUGCAAUCUUUCACAAGCUAAUAGUAGCCUUAAGUACCUUGGGAAUCUGCAUCACUUGAGGUACUUGGGACUAUUUAAGACAGGUAUUUCUCAGCUCCCGGAAGAAAUAGUAAACCUGCAGUUUCUACAAACAUUGGAUGUAAAGCACAACAAAAUUUCCAGGUUGCCCUCGAGUAUUGUCCAGCUAAGAAAGUUGAUGUGCCUAUACAUUAACUGGACUACAAUAGUUCCAAAUGGAAUUGGAAACUUGACAUGCCUUGAACAGCUGUCAAGGUUACGCAUUAAUGACUCCACCAGAAACAUUAUAGAAGAGUUGGACCAGCUUACUGAACUGAGGCAGCUAUCCAUUCAAUUGGACAAGUGGAACGACAAGCUGUUGGAGUGCCUAUGCAAGCUACAAAAGAUGCAGGAACUAACUAUCACGGUCUAUCCUGGUCAACGCAGCAUCGGCGGAUUGGAUGCCUGGGUCGCCCCUCAACAUCUCCGUGAAUUGGAUACACGACGCAGCUGUUGGUUUUCAACACUUCCAGCUUGGGUGAAUCCAUCGCUUCUUCUGGACCUCACCGAUCUAUCCAUCGCCAUGAGGGAGCUACGUCAGGUUGAUCUCGAUAUCCUCGGGAGGUUGCCAGCUCUCUGCUUUCUAGAUCUGGUGGUGGACAAUAAGAACCUUGGUAUCCUUGCGGGAUUCAUUGUUGAUGCUGGUGCGUUCCCGUGCCUUGUAAGCUGUGUCUUCCGUCAAUUUGUAUGGCCAGUGGUAUUUCAACAGGGAGCAAUGCCAAGGCUCAGAAAGCUUAUGUUCUGGACGUUUUAUGUGGGGGAGGCAAGAGGAAUUGCCUGCACCGAUGGUAGUCUCGACUUGGGCCUGGGAAACCUGCCAUCGCUGCAGUAUGUCACGGCUGACCUAAUAUGUGAUGGCUCUAGCAAGGAGGAGGUGGAGCAAGCAGUUGACGCCAAGGUUGUGCUGAAGCAUGCAGCUGAAAUGCAUCCCAACCAUCCCUCACAUUCGAUCGAUAUUGUUAUUACAGGUGCGCCAGCUCCUGAUUGUUAUUUCUUACUUAUCUCCUUCCCCCUUCUUCUAAACUGUAUUUGCGUUUAAUCCUCUGUUUGAGAUGGUGGAUUUCCAGCUGAUCUUUCACCACGCCUUUCUUCUAGCCCCUUUGCCUCAAUUCUUCUAAUCUUCCUUUCGUAUAUUUCGGUCUGAUAUACAGAUGACGAUGACGAUGACGAGUAAUAUAAGAGUUUACACCGGAAGGUGAAGCUGGAGCAGAGCAGAUGACAAAGUCCCUCUAUCUGGCCACGCAUGCAGCGGUUAAACUGCUCGGCCAUGAGCUUUUCGUUGCGAGAGUGUACUGUACUCAUAUUACCGUUUUAUUUCAUCGUAAGAUUUUUACUGCAGCCUGCUGUUUCAGUGCAAGGAACCACCCAUCAUCAGUUUUCACUUUUCAGUGCAAGGAACGUUUAUUUUACUCAUUGCAAAGGGACUGAGCUAUCUCCUGCGCCCCAAAUCUAGUUGCGUCUCAGUGGUUCAGGGCCUUGGCUGUUUAUUUUGAUGAAAUUUUUUUAGAUUAAGUGAUGAAAAAUAAAAAGGAGGUAUUUUUGGGUUAAUGUUGCAGCUUGUGACCGUAAUCAUCUUGUGAGCUGUAAGCAUGCAUGGACGGCAGUAUGUAUUCAUUGUUUCGCGGUUUCUGAUACACUAGGCCAACUAUUAUGGCAUUUCGUUCCAGCUACGAUGCUCAAGACCACAUUCAUUGUGCAUCUCUCUGAAGAGAUUCUAGCUGGCUACAAUUCUAGUCCAUGAUCUUCUAGAGCAUCUCUGCAGCACCACCCUCUAUCCCUUCACGCCACUUGUCAAUACAAAUACACAUACAACUUGGGAGGUUGCAUGGACACCUUCCGUCCCUUAAAUAUAUUUCUUUCACAAUCCUCUACUCAAAUUAGAGCCAACAAACACUCUUAGCCAAUAAACACUUCUACAUAGUUGGUACGAGUUAUUAGGCCGGCUACCUUUUAUUAUAGCAAAAGUUGCAUUGAAUUCUAGGGUGCUACAAAUGGUGUCUAAUUGUGGCAGAUAAAUAACUCCAACUCUUUCAAGAACUCCAACCCUCUGUCUUCCUCCGAAGUGUAUAUGUAUACAUACACAUUUAACAGCUUCAAUGGGUGUGGCUACAGAGUCGUGGCCGAUCAAGAACUAGAUCAUUUUCUUCCUGUUUAGUGACUACCUGACAGACUGAACUAUGAAGUCUGAACAGGCCAGUUCUGACAGACCUCAGAGCUUCAAAAUUAGAUUUUCAAUGUGCUUUCGUCAUUUGCCAGUAGCGAUGCUUGAAGGAAAAAGUAACAUCAAAACAUUUUAAAGUGAAACAUUUUCUUUUCACAAAAGAAUAACAAGCUAAACCUCACAGGCCAUUCGGGGGAAGCUAGAAGAUGCAAGGGAAAAGGGGGGACGCAAUGGAGGAGGCGAAUUCCGGUGACGCUAACACCGAGCGAGACGCUGGUGGUGGGCCGGAACGAACGCGUCCAGGUCGAAAUCUUUUUACUACAAGGUGCCUUCAAUUCAGUUCAUCCCCUUCUCCAUUUCCUUCAUGUUACGCGACAUUGGCACCCGGCAAACAAAAUCACUGAUGCAUCGUGAAAAAAGCUCAUGACUCCGGGAGGCAUUCAUGAUACAUGGAUGAUUUUUGAACUGUUGUUGGGAUCGCUUGGCACCGCUUGUAGGCGUGUUAUAUAUACACUCUGCCAUGCCUUAAGUACAGAGUAACCUGCGUUUUCUCUUUCAAGCAGUUAGCUAGUCUUUGAACUAUAUGAAGCAUUGGAGGAAACCAAAUUACGAGCUUUGACUUUUGUAGCUGAACGCAUCCACAAAUUUGGUGAGGCAUAUGGGCACAUUCAGACAAUCUUUGAUCUUGAUCACUUUCGGCCUGUACAGAUCUUUUCUCUUUCACACAAUUCCAAACACAAAGAACCAGUGAAGACUUUGUAUAUACGAUGGUAUAAGCCAUAAUGGUGCGUAUGGUUAUCGUGGUCCAUGUUGCUAAUGGUAUACAGAAGUUCAAUUUAUUGGUACAAGUGGCCAUGAUGUAUUUGUGAAAAGAGCAUCCUGUUCUUGCUGACUUCAUUGAUAACACGAUCAGGUUCGCUAUUUGGAUGUGUCGAUCGUGACAGGACUUCAGAAUGCUACCUUCCUUUGUUAGGCGUGUUACAACUUACAAGAACUGUAAAGAAGAAAUAGAAACUCAGUUAACAUCACAUACAAUGAAUCACAUCCCAUCAACAGAUAUUUGUCUGAGCUUCUCUUCAUCUCCGCUACGGCAUUGCACCCCGCAGCCUUCUACAUGGCGUUUAUGUUUUUUGUCCUGUGAUUCUAUAAUGGAUGAAGAACCGGUUACAGGUGAUCCUCGGAAGGUCACCUGAGCUUUUCCUUAAGGCCCGUCGAAUGAAUUUGUCCGCGUGCUCCUCAUGCUCCCUCGACCCACGCAUCCACGUCCAUCCCAGCCGGCGAUCACCGGUCAUAAUAAGCUGAUUAGGCUGAUAGCUACAUGAUUGAAGCGACGGCAGCACAAACUCGGGUGUGGGACGGACUCUGUUAUCGAGCGUCAAGCAUCAUCGUUUACAUGUUGUUCAGAAUUCAGUCAUAUGGUUCAGUUCACUUCUUGGUUGUCAGGUAUUUCCGGGAGGCAAAAACUGACUAGACUCACUGAAGCAUGUAUGCAUAGUGCCAUCGGUUCAUCACUCUUCAUGUUUAGAUGGAGGUAAUCAGUGGGAGGUCAUGAAAGGGAGUUUAGAUAGAAGAGAUUAAAAUUACAUUGCUUGUUUGAUGGGAAUGGGAGUUUUAAUGGGAUGAGGAAUAGGAGUUUUAAUGGGAUAAGGAAUGGGAGUUUAGAGAGGCAACUCCCACUGAUCACUUCCCCAGGGGAGGGGUGGGAAUUGGGUAGGAAUUUGUUUUAAAUGGAAGAUGAAUGCAUCUACACCAUUUAUCAUAACUUAAGAUAUAAUUUCCCAUCGCUAAAUCCUCACACCAAACAACGGAUAUCUAGUCUCACUUAAACUCCCACUCUUAAUUCCCUCCAAAAGACAAACAAGGAAAUGGCACUAAAAAUCAUAUUCCCAAGUAAAUUCCCUCCGCCAACUCCCACCGCUAAUUCCGAAGCCCCUUCCCAUUAGUUGCCCAACGCACCCUUAGAUUAGAUGAAACUGGCACCGGUCAAAAACAGAAUACUGAUCGAUCAGAUGAUCACCUAUGUGCUGUGAAAUGAAAUGAUUGUAAUGCUCGUAAAAAUUACCAAUUUAAAUCACUCGUUAAAAAUGCAUUCCAAAAUUUUCCGACCGUUGAGCUCCCAAAAAAUCCCCUCUUUCCCGUCGGAUCCGCCGUUCCGACCCCCGACGUCGUCAACCCUCUUUUUCCGUUCCCCGUAUUUUUCGCCGCGUGCCCGUCAAAUUCAUCACGCGUGCCCGUCAAAUCCCGCAAUUCCCGCCGUCUCCCUCUUUUUCUUUUUCCCUCCUUUUUCCCUCUCUUUCUUUCUUCUUUUUCCCUUCUCCUUGUUUCUUCUCUUUCUUCCUCCUUCCUCUCUCUCCUUUCUUUUUCCCCGCUUCCUUUUCUUCUCUCUGGCGCCUGGCGCCCGGCCCCUCCCUCCUAGCGCCGCCCGUGCGUCCCCUGCCUUGCGCACCCCGAGGUGAGCACCCCGCACGCGCGCCGGGCCCGCGCCGCGCCCGCGUCCGCUCGCGCCUUGGCGCCUAGCGCUUGGCCAAGCACGUCGCAUCACCGGCCGCCGGUCGCCGGUCUCCGCCAUCCCACCGCACGUCACGCCGGCCAUCACCUCGGUGGACUCCUUGUGCUCCUCGUCGACCGAGCCACCACACCAUCCACGAGCUUCUCCACUCUGGCACGCCACCGGCCAGAGGUACGGCCGCCAUUAUCACCCGGCCGCACGCCCACCUCUCCCUUCGCCUAUAAAAGGAGCAAUGCUCCGACUCUCCGCACCGCCACCUGCCACUAGCAUCACCACCGCCCCUUCCCUGCUCCCUCCCGUGCGCCCAACUGCCACCUUCCCUGUGCGCCGCCGCCCCUAACCAUUGCCGGCCGCCCCUCCUCCCAUCAUCAAAAUCUCCAAGGUGAGUGGCAAAAUGGGGCCUCCACACCUCCCCCUACCCUUCCCCACCGUCGGGGCCCGCCGCUGGCAAGGCCCGGCCGGCUGGCCGGCCACCGCCAGCCAUCCUCUCCACUUCCUGUAACCGGCCAAAGGAAGAAGAAGAAGAAACUCCUUCAAUUUCGAUCUACCCCUCUACUUCCAUUUAUUUACAAUCCGGCCCUUCCACCUCUCUCCAGGAAUUCUCACAGAUGAGCCCUUCCACUUUUCAGAAUAAUUACAAAUAGGUCCUUGGUUCUCGCGGUUUAGUCCUAAACCUUAAUUUAAACCCCUAAUCCAUGUUUAACUCGUCAUUUCAUGUGCCAAACUUCCUCCAAUUAAUCCCAAAUUCGACCACGGCCUCCUCUCAUAUAUUUCCGUCAAGGCAUAUCCAAAUUUCAUAAAAAUACCCCUCCUACCUAUUUUCCGUUCACAUUUCCUGUUCAGAGCUCAACGGGUAAAAUCUUAUUUUUGUGCUCGUUUGUGUGUGCCGUAGAUCGCGGAGUACCCAAGGAGGAGCACGAGGAGGAGUUCGACCGCGAGCCCAAGCCCGAGGACCAGUACCGCGAGCAGGAGCUCCCGGAGGGCUUUGAGAACGGCAAGUCCAACCUCACCCUUUGAUGCAUAUUUAAUACCUAAUUUUUCAAAACACAACCUAUUGGCCUAUUUUAUAAAAUGCAUAUUGUUUUAUCGCAAGACAUGGUUGGAUAGCCACCCCUUGAUUGUUAUGAUUAUUCCUUGUUGUCCUAUAUUUGUCUCUAGAUAUGAGUUGCUCUGUUUAGAUGAUAAAUACUGCUAGAAUGCUUAGGAACUCGUUACUCCCAUUCAAUCAUGACUACACUUGUUUAUAAAUGUGUGAGUGUGUUCAACUGAGAAAAUGGGAUUUUCAGGCGUAAAGAGAAGUGGUGCAUGGAUGAGAUGGAUGGGUGUUUCUUGUGUGAAAUGCCAAGAUGUUGAGCUCGUACCUUAGUGGUUGAGCAAGGUUGGGAGAUAUCCAUCUUGUCAUGGUUAAGGACUAAGUUGAUGUGUCAUCUUGCCUAAUUCAACCAUCGUGCAACCACUCGACCGUUGUAUGGGCAACGGCUUAGCAUGAAUCCCACUAGCUAAACUGCUAGGCUUCAGGUGUACUGGUGAGCAACGGGAACCCAUGGAAAAGGAUUAAGCUCUUGGUGACUUAGGUCCCGGUUCCGGCCUCGUAGAUGGGUCGUUAACCCCUUGGGUGCUUCCGUGAUGACUAGUCAGUUUUGGCUAAGGUGGGUAAUGGUUUUGUUAGGAUCCGCACCGGCACUAAGGUGAUCGUGCUGUGGUACCCUACUUGUGGGAAAAGUGUACAACCUCUGCAGAGUUAAAACCUAUCCGGGUAGCCGUGUCUAUGGCAUUGGACGAGUUACAGCUUGGUCACAUAACUAGCAUUUGGAGAUGGUUGGUUUUUAUGGUGUGUGUUGGAUUUUUGGAAGUGUCCGGCAGUUGUGCCAUGCGCUGCAGCGGACGGGGGGUCCGGUAGCGAUAAAACUUGGAUCCUUUGUGUAGGAUCAACCCCACUUAAUGAUUCGGUUAUUAAAUAAAAUACUUUGUAAAAACUCUUUGAAAAUGAACCCUUGCAUGAGUUGAAAAUCUAGCUUUAUUGCAAAUGAACCUUAACCUUGUCCUUGUUGUAUCAUGUGCAUGUUCUUGUUGUAUCCCUCUCCAUGGAUGGGGUUGGACUUGUUGAGUACCUUUGUACUCACCCCUGUUUUGUUGCUUCAGAGGAGGAUCCGGACUACGUCGUCGAGGAUUUUGAGUAGGGGGUUGCGUCUGCACCCAACGCUGCUUGCGGUGUUGGCCCUUUUGCAGGAUGCUUCCGCUGACGCAUAGUCCGAUUGCAGCCCGGAGUCCGACUGGACUGCAACUUGGAUUUGUAUUGUUAUCGCUUUAGUUUUACUUUGGGUGUGGCUUGCCCGCCCUCUCCUUCGGGAGUUGUACGGUUUCUGAACUAUCUGUUGAAUAAAUAUGUUAUCAGCCUCCUGGGACUGAUAAUUGGAUCACAUUUAGUCUCUACUUAUGUGGGGACGCUUCAAUGAUUCAUGAACAGUAACCGUAUGACUUGUUGGGGAUCACUCUAAAAGACAGCCACCCUCGAUGUCAUCUUCUUCGGCACGAGGCAACUUGCAUCGCGAAAUCUUUGCCUUCAGGCGAAGGUUGCUAACAUCGUGAGACCAAUUUGGCAUAAAAACCAUGUUAGCCUCGCGCCGUCUCUAUAGCUCGGGUCUCGAAGCUAAGGCAUAAUUGCUAAUGGCUAAAAUGUGACAAAGCUUACCCUCGGACGCUCGAAGCUAACCUCGAGUGACGAGUUUUUCACUGUGUUUUAUUCAGGGUUACCGGAAUGAGGGCGCUAAGGCUCAAGGCACGAGGCUAGGCAUCUUUCUCGGCACGAGGAUGAGAGAACUUCAAGCACGAGGUAAAGAGGUUUGCUGGAAAGAUGCUAAAGGCACAAAGGCGUGAAAAGCAUGAUUGCAUGGAGGCGUUGGAAACGUGAACCCCCGGUGGCGUGAUUAACGUGACUACCCGCUAGCGUGAGAAGCGUGACCCAAUAGAAGAGACCAAGUUGAACAAGUUACCUCCAACCUUAGAAUGUAAAGUGUCCCUCGGAUCACUAUAAAAGAGGAGCCCUACCCUGGUGUAAAGGGAUGAUCUUUUUUGAGAACUGAAUCACGAGUGCUAACUCUACAUUGUUGUGUUCGAGUUUCCUUGAGGAGUUCUCUAUCGCUAGGUGUGAAAGCCUACAGAGUCUUGAAUCUUCCCAAGGUGCGUCAGCUGUGGGUAAGUUGCUGUCAAGUUUAAGGCGUGUGGAUGAGUUGGGCAGUUUGGAGCAGCUGUGGCUGAAUGUGGAUACGCAGGACCUCGCUUCUCAGUGGGUGCCUGGGCUUAAACAACAGCGCCAAUAACUCCAUGGGGAAGACCUGGAUAUCUACACAUGGUGACUGAGGUACGAGAAAAACUGGGCAUUAAUUUAGUUGCUCCUUAAUUUGUUUGGUUGUCCAUCUAAUUAAUGUUGUUUUCUCUCUGAAUUUUGUAGUUUCAACCGACACUAGCAUCUUGAAUUUGUGGAUAUUAGUCUUCUGUAGGAAGGAGGACUGAUGAUAAAGUGCAACGAUCAAGAUGAACUGAGGUCGAAAGGUGGGAACUGAGAGAUGGAAAUCAAGAGCAGCUGCAUGCGAUGCAUCGAUUCUUGCUCUAAGGUUGGGUCUAUGAGAACACAGGGAACACAGGGAGAAGGCUUCCUCUCUUCUUUGGCCCAUUGGAAGCCUUGUUUAAUCUUGUUCAAGUGUUUGCUAUUGUUGUGUGCAUGUCUAAACAAAAUGUGUGCUACUUACUUGAGUUUCUCCAUUAAUUCAUUCUGUAAGAUGGGCUUCUAUUCCUUGUACUUAGCGAACAUGUAAUCAUAUCUUGGCUGGUGCCUAUGCUGCUGCUCCGUCGUCAAUUUGUCACCUGCUCUUUCACUGUGAUGCGAUUACAAUUUGUUAGGUGCAAUCAAUUUCUUCCGUUCUGUUCUCAAAAGAAUGUCAGAACUUGGAGAAUCACAGCCAUCAAGAUGCACUGAUGUCGGAACUCGGAGAAGGCUUCCUCUCUUCUUUGGCCCAUGGGAAGGCUUGUUUAAUGUUGUUCGAGUCUUUGGGUAUCCUUGUGUGCAUAUCUGAAUAAAUUGUGUGCUACUUGAGUUUCUCGAUUAAUUCAUUCUGUGUGAUGGCUUGUAUUCCUUGUACUUCGUGAACUUGUAAUGUCAACUUCAUCUGCUGUUGCAUGCUUUCUGUUGCCAACUGAGCUCCUGUUUUGUUACCACUGCUAUUAAUUUUUACUCUAAUAGAACUUCUGUUACUCGUUCCCCUGCUUAGUUCCGUAAUGCAUCUUAUGUCAAACAAUCAAGUCAUCCUGUGAAUGGUGAAAUGCGGGUUAGCUCUAAAAAUCAUAUCUUGGCUGGUGCCUAUGCCACUGCUCUGUCAUCAAUUUGUCACCUGUCCUUUCACUGUGAUGCGAUUACAUUUUGUUGGGUGCAAUCAAUUUCUUCCGUUCUGUUCUAAAAAAAAACUUCCGUUCAUAGGACUAGAUUUGCACGAGCAAUUUUCCGUUCAAAUUCGUGCAGCUAGAGGAGGCACGAGUCGUCAUUAGUCAAUACUUAGGUAGCUGCAGUUUUGAGCAUCUACUGAAACUCUGUUCUCUUUGCAUCUACUCUGUUUUCUUCGAACCCUGCUUGAUUCAGUACCAAAACAAGACAGCUAGCCGGAUCAGGUAGCGUGGUCGCUCUACUACAGAUGAACUUCUGAACAUUAAUUUCCUCUGUUUCUAUAAAUCGUGCAGUUGUUCAACAAUAAGAAACCAACUAAUUUCAUCAUGUUUAUUCAAAAAAUGGCUGGCUUGUGGAAAUGCCCGAAUUGAUGGACUAGAAUGUUGAACACGAAGUUUGGGAAAGAGUUAAUCUCAGAACUGGAGUUGGCAUGCAUGGAUCAUGAAGCGACUUAGAUGUACUUGUGUAUGUCCAAUUGCAUCAAGGAAAAGAGCUGCUCCAGAGCUAUCUUGAAGCUUUCUCCUCCAAGCGCAGGGAGGAAUAGAACAGAGCAGAGAACAGCUGCACUGCAAAGGCGCUCUCUGCACUCCUAGGAAGACUGAUUGGACUGAGAAAACAUGUGGUUGGACUUUUGACUAGGGGAGCUAAGGUGAACGAUUCUUGACUAGGAAGGCAUGAGGUUGGACCUCUCAUUCGGUCCGCUAAAAGAACAAUUAUUGUUGACUAAGAAAACAUGAGGUUCGGCCUCAGAUGGAAUUUGUAAGGUCCAAAGGGCCACUUUCAUAUCUUCUCCAUUCUAGAGGAUCGGAAGCUUUGGUCAGUUUUGUAUUCAUUUCUUUGCAAAAGAAACGUACUCAGAUGCCUCCUAUGGUCUCCAUGGUUGGUUGCAAUCACCUAACUGAAUUAAUUGAACGAUAGAUAGAGCAUACUGUAAAUUUUUUAUGACCAAGGACAAAAGGAACGACUUCUACUGAACUGACCACACAGCAAAGAGGCCAAGGCCUGGUGGCCUUAUCGUCACGCAUCUCGCUACUAAGUAGUGAUCACACACCAAAUAAAAGCUAACAGCCGAAGAAGGCAACGGAUGUCAACAAAGAUGGCACGCAUGCAUGUUUCCUUGACUAUAUAUGACAUGGGACAACUAAUUUACAUUUAUACUGCUACGAGUUUUACAAUAUUAGUAAAAAUCUAUUUGGAUCCGAUGCUAAAUUUUAGCCGGCUAAAAAUUAGUCCUUGACGAUUUAAACGGUGGGGCUAAAGGUGGACUAAUUAUUAGCCAACUCAAACUAAACUUUAGUUCAUUAGCCCUCCAAACCCAGCUAAUGGGGCUAAUUUUACAAACGAAUGGUAAAAGAUUAAAAAUACCCUCCACUAAAAUCUUAAAAUUUUCUCUCCUACACCCCCUAAGGAUAGAAUAGACAUUUCCCAAUAAAUAGGUUAAAAAUUAGCUCUACCUCCAAAGAAGACAGAGUUAUUUUAGCCAACGAAAGUUUUGAUGUCUAAACUUUAGUUUUAGUCCAUCCAAACAGACUCUUAGAAUGAUUGAUACCACCACCUUGAUUUUGGUUCGGAAGUAUUUAUCUAGAUAAAAUAAAAAUUUUAGCGCUGGUCCAUGUAUCUAGAAAAAUCAAACCGACCUACAUUUUGAAACGAAGGGAGUAGAAUGUAAGAUGCAUAGGUGCAACUUGAAGAAAAUUGGAUCCCCGUUGGUACGGAACUAUGAUACAAGUAGGGAGAGAUGUCUCGUACGUAAUUUCGCUGUUGCACGAUUCAUGAAUGCAUGCAUGUAUGAUACAAGUAGCAAGAGACGUCUCGUGAUUUCGCUGUUGCACGAUUCGUCAAGAUGCAGGGACCAGCAUCAUCAAACUGAAAACGUGAUGGACCGAGACGGCGGCGUGUGUUGAAUGUGUUCCGCCUGCAGGCCGCGACGUACUUGAGAAUAGCACGCGUCACGUAAGGAGGUGUUUGAUUCUUUAGAACCUCCUAAAAUUCCUAUCACAUCGAAUGUUUAGAUACUAGUUAGGAGUAUUAAAUAUAGACUAAUUAUAAAACUAAUUGCACAAAUGAAGGCUAAUUUGCAAGACGAAUCUAUUAAGCCUAAUUAGUCCAUGAUUUGAUAAUGUGAUACUACAGUAAACAUGUGUUAAUGAUGCAUUAAUUAUGCUUAAUAGAUUCGUCUCGUGAAGCUUCCGUCUGUGUAAUUAGUUUUAUAAUUAACUCAUGUUUAUUCCUCCUAAUUAGACAAAUACUAGUCCAUCAACCCGUGCUCCCGCACGGACUAAUAUUUUUAGAAGCAAUUGUAUAUAAAAAUUAUUUAAAAAUUAAACUCUUAGCUAAUAAUCAAAAUUGUUUACCUACUACUCUCUUAUUUUUCCAAUACUUGAACAUAAUAAUUACAUAGAUAUGUACCUAUCUUUGUCCAGUUGUGAUUGCUUUAUAAUCAAUAAUUACUCUAUAUACUUUUUCAUCCAUAUUCAUACUUUUUUUCAUUUUGUAUCACACCUCCAAUCCUUCAUACAUUAUGUUUAGCAUACAAAUUAAUAUUUUUCAUCGAUUCCUCACAUACAUGUAUAAAUGGUCUAAAUGGUGGCACUCAUCAUGUGUAUAUACUUUAACUUAGUAUUUUUAUAUUAACAAUGACAUAAAUAGGUAAUUUAGAAUCAUAUAUUAAUUUACUUUUUGACAUUUCUGUAUGAUGCACAUGAAGAUAAUUAGAUGAAGAUUUAGGUGUUUACUUUAGGUUAUUUUUAAUAUCGACAUAUGUGGGUAAUAUAGAUAAAAUUUUAGAAUGACAUUUUAAGUUAUGCUUUAUAAUGAUGUGUAUUAGUAAAUUGGACGAAGAUUAUGAGGUUACUUUAUAUUAUUUUUUAUAGUAGCUGAGCUCAGUAAUUUAGAUAUAGAUAUAGGUUUAGAGCUCAUUUUUUUAAUAUUUUCACAAUGAUAGUGGCAGGUAACCUUUUAGAAAAUAUAAUAGAUCAGUGGCUAUGAUUAUUAGAGUUUACAUGAUUGGUGUUUGAUGUUUUUAAUUUUUAUGAGAAUUUCUCUCUUUUUUCUAGCUUGUCUCGUGGGAACUAAUGUGGAGUCUCCAAUGGAAAAAAAAUGUAGGGUAACCUCAUGUUAUUUUUAAUAAUAGCAUGUGUGGGUAUUAUAGUGGUUAUUUUUCAUGCAAAUUUAAGGGUUACUUAAAAAUUUUAAGUAAUAGUGGUAGGCAAUUCAGCUGCAAAUUAGGGGGUUAUUUUAAAUAUUGUUUACAAUGGCAUAAGUGGGUAAUUUUGAUGAAGAUUAGGGGGUUACUUUAAUUAAUUUUAUAUAAUGGCAGAGGUGGGUAAUUUAUAUAUAGAUUUAGAGGGUUACUUUAGGCUAUUUUCAUAAUGGCAUAGGUGGGUAAUUUUUUUAAAAACAUAAUAGAUCCAAUGGUUGUAAUGAUUUGAAUCUAUCGACCGAUGGUCGGAUGUUUUGCUUUUUUAUAAGAAUUUCUAGGAUUUCUCUCUUUUUGUAGAAUGUCCACCUAGGAAUCCUAGGUGGCUUCACCUGGAGGCUUCAAAAGGAGCCUCCAAUUAGUAAUAGUAAGAUUCGAUGUGACAUAAAUUUUAGUCCGGACUAAAGAUCGAAAUUACCCCUGGUACGCGUGGGAGUAGCUCAGCUGUCCCUGUCCAUUGCGGCCCGGAAACUGGAAUUCCACCUUCAAGAAGUACGUGCCGAGCCUGACUGUUUGUAGAUUCGUCAAGGUCAUCGUGGUGUUUCUAGAUUCGUUUCAUCUUUCGAAGCAGAGUUCUUGUGUUGAGUUCUUGUUGUUCACCGUGCAAGAGUUGGCGUUUCUAGCACGCACGGAGAGUGAAUCAAGGCAUGUGGGACGACCCAUUCGGAGUAGUAGUCAAUGUGGAAUUGAAUGACGGGCUGUGUUAUGGUGUGCACGAGUGGAAGAAAUUAAAAAGUCUGAUUGCAACGUUACUGCGUUACUUGACGAAAUCUGCAGCUUGAAGAACAGGGAAGGUCCAUGAAUGCAUGCGCCGGAGGAGAUCCGGAACAACAUAUGCAUAUACGGGAGUUCUUGGGAAAAUAAUAAUUAGAUAAAAAUUACUAAAUUAUCUAUAAAAAUGGAUGGUUAGACCACUAACGAGUCGCAUAAGGCACCGUAAAAGACUUCUUGAAUAAUUAUUGGACUAACCUACAUGAUUAUUAUAGUGCAGAAACCAUACCGAGCAGGAAUGGAGUCAACAAUGACGUGUCCUGUGCAACAAUGACGUGUCCAGGAAGAUGCGGUCCAGUUGACGCAGCCAAGAUGGGCCGUUACACGUUGAUCCAUUGUUAGCUAGCGCACUCGCUUCACUAGCAGCAACCUCUAUAAAAGGAGAUCAAUACCGGAACAGAUCAGCAAUCUGCACAAGACCACAAGUAGUUAACUAAGCAUUGCAGCCAGUUAUUAGCAACUAGCUACUAGUGACUACUGAACAUCCAGCGCGUAGGAUGGCUGCAAGAAAGGCUAUUGGUGCUAACAAGGAGACCUGCGGCGCCUUUGAACCUUGUUUAUGGGGCGACUUCUUUGUGAAUUACACUCCUACCUCAUCACAGGCAUGAAUUUAUGAUUUCAUUGUAGUCAGCAUGUUAUAAUUUUUAGCUCUUUAGUUAUAUUGUAUUGCAUAACAAGCAGAGGUCGGAGGAGUGGAUGAGAGAGAGGAGUGAGCAACUCAAAGGGGAAGUGUGCCGGAAGUUUGAGGUUGGAAAAGCCAUGAGCGUGGCCGACACGGUGAGGUUGGUGGACACGCUCGAACGCCUUGGUAUAGAGAACCAUUUCGUCAAGGAGGUUGAGAAGGCCUUGGAGGGUGUCCACGAUGAGGAGCUGGACUUUGGCAGCUCCAAUGACUUGCAUGUUGUUGCCCUCCGGUUUCGUCUUCUUAGGCAACAUGGCUUUUGGGUAUCCGCAGGUAAUAGAAAUCAGAAGCUAACAAAAGCUGAUCAGUUAUGCUCGAUCAUUCUUCUUUCACACAUGUUUCUCUGUUUUUCUCUUUUUUCUUGUUGCCACCACAUAACCUAUACACGCUGAAAACUGUUUAUCAUACAAUUUUUUUGUUUUAGAUUUAAUUUGAAUGCGUGUGUAAUAUUAUGUACUAGGAGUUAUAGAAAACGCCAUAUCAUUACUAUAUGAGCUUCUAGUGAUGAAUAUGUACAUACGUGCAUGCAUACAGAUGUAUUCGACAAAUUCAGAGAUGACACCGGUAGUUUCAACGUAAAUCUAAGCAAUGACCCGAGGGGCCUGCUUAGCUUGUACAAUGCUGCUCACAUGGCGGUACCUGGUGAGACGAUCUUAGAUGAUGCUAUCGCCUUCACUAGGCGCCAUCUUGAGGCUGCAAAAGGCAAGCUUACAUCUCCUAUAAAGGAACAAGUUUCCCGUGCCCUAGAGAUUCCGCUCCCUCGUUUUAUGCGGCAACUAGAGACCAUGCAUUAUCUUACUGAGUAUGAGAAAGAAGAGCCACACGACAUCAUGAUGCUAGAGCUCGCAAAGAUUAACCUCAACCUUCUUAGGAGUGUCCACCUCAAGGAGCUGAAGGACCUCUCACUGUAAGUUGAUAUUCUAGUUCUUUCACCCUAUUUGUUCAUUGUUCAUUGUCUUCACUAACAAGGUGGGUCAACCAAUUCCAUGUGAAGAUGGUGGAGGGAUCUCUACGACAGUGUGAAGCUAACCUACUGUCGGGACCGCAUCGUGGAGUCUUACUUCUACAGCUUUGGAGUGUUCCAUGGGGAGGAAAGCUCUGCUGCGCGGAUCAUACUUACCAAGGUGUUUGGGUUGUUGGUCCUGAUUGAUGACACAUUUGAUGUGCGCGCCACCUUUGAGGAGUCCCAAAUGUUAGAUGAUGCCUUGCAAAGGUAGGAUAAUUCACUACCACUACAACUACUUCCUCUAUUAUAUGUUUUUUGUAAAUGAAAAAUCAAGUUUUAUCGUACAGCUCACUUAUAAAAAUAACAAGGGACUCGAUAACUGGAAUGCUGACGCACAUAUGAAAAGAACCUAAAAUCAUUAUUGUAAGGAAGUCGUACUACAAGAUGGUUGUAUACUUGUAUGUGGUUAUAUAUGUUGUUCGCUGGUCAAAAUAAAACAGCCAAACUAAUUAGUGUAUUUCUGUCAUAAUUAUAUGUAGAUGGGAUGAGAGCACUGUUUCGCUUCUACCACAAUACCUACGCAUGUUCUACAUCAAAACAUUGAGUAACUUCAAUGAAAUUGAGGAUACUUUGGAACCGCACGAGAAGUACCGCAUGGAUUAUGUCAAAAAAGAGGUGUGGAUUAUAGUCAACUAACAGCUAUGUAACUUCUGUAGAAACAUAACAAACAUGAACAGUGGUUUCGAUCCUCUCAAUUUUAUUAAUCCCAACUUAUUUGCGUACAAUGUUUUUGAUUUUGCAGUACAAAUUGCAAUCAAAAAAUUCCAUCCAACAGGCUAAAUGGUUCAAUGAAAACUGCACGCCCAGCUUCAAAGAACAUCUAGACGUGUCACUUAUGGCGACGGGUUUGCCGUUGCUGUUCUUCACAGCUCUGAUGAGUGCAGGCCAAGUGAUAAGCAAUGAGGCAUUCGAGUGGGCACUUGACAUGCCUGACAUGUUUUAUGCCAAUAUAGAAGUGGGUCGCUUCCUCAAUGACAUCGCUUCUUACAAGGUACUAUAUCGAGUUCAAAUAAUAGUCUAUCUAUUUUUAAAUAUUUGAUGCCAUUACCUUUUUCAUUCUUUUGACUAUUCAUCUUUUGUAUAAACAUAAACAUAUGAUGCACGAUUUAAAGCACUUUUGAUGAGAGGUCUAGUUUUACUUAUUUCGCUUUACUUAAUGAAUUAAUUCAAUAACCAUUAUUGUCAAAGUUUGAGAAAAAGACACCUUAGAAGGUAUUUCAAUCAUGGAGGUAUUUAUAAGACCAUUGUUGUUAUUUUUAUUGAUAACAAAUAUUAGAAAAGCAAUGGACAGACAUGCAGUACAUUCCAAACACCUUUGACAUCAUAAACAGCAAAAUAAUCUACUACCUGCUUGUAUUGGAAAAAUAUGACAUUCAGUGCCCGGAUGGAUCUCGUAUAUGCACGCACCUAACAUCACAAAUACGCAUGUCUUUGCGCGCAGCAAGGGAAGUGCGAGAAGGAUGUGGCCAGCACUGUGGAGUGCUACAUGAGGGAAUACGGCACGACUGGGGAAGAGGCGGUGGCAGCGAUCACCGGGAUGGUGGAACAUGCGUGGAGGAGGAUAAACAAAGCUUGCAUAGAGGUGAAACCUGCAGUAGAGCCGGUAGUGCGAUGUUUGUUGAACACGACGAGGGUGCUAGAGGCCUACUACCUUCAUGGCAGGGACGGCCUCACCUAUGGCCGUGACCUCAAGGAGCUCAUCACCUUCCUCUUCCUGAAGGAUGUCCAUGUCUAAGUUUGUUAUUUGCAUCAGUACGACAUAUAAUGUACUGCAUAUAUGCAAUUGUUAAAUGUGAUGCUUGUGUCGAGAAUAAUAAAAACAAUGGUGCCAACCUAGCUAACUGGUCGAGCCUCGUCACUCGGUUCAGCCUGCCAUUGGCUUAUCUUCUGAACUUAAUCUUUUACAUAUAUGAUAUUGCCAUCUGCUCUCAUUUACUGUCAGACUUAUUGUGUGUUUAACUCUUGAUCUGCUCUCAUUUGCCUAUGCCAAUGCUCUGUCGUCAAUUUGUCACAUGUCCUUUCACUGUGAAGCGAUUACAUUUUGUUGGGUGCAAUCAAUUUCUUCGGUUCUGUUCUCAAAAAAAAAAUCUUCCGUUCAUAGGACUAGAUUUGCACGAGCAAAUUUCCGUUCAAAUUCGUGCAGCUAGAGGAGGCACGAGUCGUCAUUAGUCAAUACUUAGGUAGCUGCAGUUCUGAGCAUCUACUGAAACUCUGUUCUCUUUGCAUCUCCUCUGUUUUCUUCGAACCCUGCUUGAUUCAGUACCAACACAAGACAGCUAGCCGGAUCAGGUAGCGUGGUCGCUCUACUACAGAUGAACCUCUGAACAUUAAUUUCCUCUGUUUCUAUAAAUCGUGCAGUUGUUCAACAAUAAGAAACCAACUAAUUUCAUCAUGUUUAUUCAAAAAAUGGCUGGCUUGUGGAAAUGCCCGAAUUGAUGGACUAUAAUGUUGAACACGAAGUUUGGGAAAAGAGUUAAUCUCAGAACUAGAGUUGGCAUGCAUGAAUCAUGAUGCGACUUAGAUCUACUUGUGUAUGUCCAAUUGCAUCAAGGAAAAGAGCUGCUCCAGAGUUAUCUUGAAGCUUUCUCCUCCAAGUGCAGGGAGGAAUAGAACAGAGCAGAGAACAGCUGCACUGCAAAGGUGCCCUCCUUCUCGGGCUGUGACUGUGUAAUAUUCCAAAAAUUUGAAAUAUUAAUUUGAGUGAAAUUUCCAAAAAUUCCAAACUUUUUGUUCAAAUUGUGUGCUUGUUUAAAAAUGAAAGACAAAUUCUCUUCUCAUCCAAAUUCCCUAAUGGUCAAAUCACAAAUCUCUUGAAAACUUGUGUGGAUUUUCAUGGAUUUUAUUUGGAUCUCAAAUAUAAGUGUGUUUGAAUUUUGAAUAUAAUUCAAAAUUCAAACUAAAAUGUAUCCCUCCUAAAUUUCUGUAAAUCAUUUCUUAAGAGCCAGAUCCGCCUCCUCUACAAAAUUUUUUUGCUCCUGAAGCUUUUGGCUGAGAGUAUGGAUCACUUUAUCUUUAUCAGCGAUGGUCCUCAUAACUUUUUCUAUAGUGUCCCGGAGUUUCUCCAAAACACCAAGACAAUAAACACCAAGAUUGUCUGCAGAACUCUUUUCCAGGCUUUUGACUUUCUGAACGAGGUCGCUGCAAGUGUUGGUAAGCAGCACCUUGUUUCUUUGAAGCUUGGCGUUAGCCUCGAAAAGCUCAUUCUUUAGACUUACUAAAAUGCUAUUUUCCUUCUCGAGCCUCGCCACCUUAGCCUCAAGAUUUAGCAUCUUGGCGCUCUGACUGAGCAUAUCCUUCUCUUUCUCUGCUAGCUUCUUCACAGCGAUCUUGCCGAGGAUCACAGACUGCGCAGGCAGCAAACAGAGAAAGGCAAAUUAAAUGCUAUCAAAUAAUAAGAAGCAAGGAAAAUACACAUAUCAAAUACAAUACCUUGUAACCGAGGUUAGCCAACGGCCUGGCAAGAUCGUCAGGUUCGAGGUCACGAACAGCUUUCUCAUACUCUAUCGGAAUGAGACAUGUUAGAAAAACAAGCAAACUAAGGAUAAGUGCAGUUGAGGUAAACAAAAAAGGAAAUAAGAAGAAAUAACUUUCAGGGUCGAAAGCUUUAUCCUCGCAUUCAUCCUCAGCACGAGCCUUGGCCUUUCCAGAGGCCUAGAGGUCCCCUUUUUUCUCUGUAUCCCCCUUUUUUCGAGCCUCGCCCCCGUCACCCUCAACUUUCCCUGGGAUUGCCUUCGCCACUUCAUCUACAACACGGACUGCAUCCUCAGUCACAGCCCUGGCAAUGUGGGAAUUCUUCGUAGAGUUUUUGACCUUCAUGCCAGCAAGCGGACCAGUAGCCUCAAGCUCAGGUUUGGUUGUAGCUGGCUCAACCCUUGAGACAAAAGACGCAUAGCUCUUUGUAGCUUCGCCCGAAGAACUUUGACCAAGUCUUUCUUUCUUUUUUAGGGCCUCGAGGCUGGAAAUCUUCAACUUUGCUCUCGCAACCUCACUUACAAUGCCCGCUUGGGUAUCUUUCUUCCUCGCAACCUCGAUCAUGGCCUUCGAGCCUGCACUCUUAGCCUUCUUCUUUUUCCCCUUGCCUCCCCACCAAUCUGCUUCAAGCCGGUCACGCCGGCCUCGCACAUUUGCUUGGAAGCUUUGCGAGGCUUCGAGCAGGGCUCAACCUCAGUUCCAAGAUCUUCAAACACACGGUUGAUUCGAAGCUCAUGCUCAACGAGCUUGCAGGCAGACGACAGCUCAUUCUCAUGGCAGGGGCCAAGGAAGUCAAUGGUGUGCCUCUCAACCUCAUCUACGAAGAGUCUAGGGUUAACACCCUCGGGCAACUCUAAUGCAAACCGAGGGUAGGGGAACAGGCUGGUGCGCCACGAGAUAGUCUUUCGAAUAAUCUCCUUUAGUUCCCACCCUUUGGAAAGAGGCCAGAUGUUUGCCGCCACAAACUCAUCGACAAGAUCCCACCCAGUAAUUGACCUCGAGGCUGAGAAAAAGACGUUCUCGCACUCCUUAACAACUACGAUCCUCGAAAAUGGGGGAGUAGUGGAGAUGUCCAUAGGACCUAAUGGGGAAUAGAAAGGAUAAAAUGACCGGUUGAUGCCAGAUGUGUUGGCCAUGUCAACUUUAACAUAAAAUCAAUAGCUCAGCCAAUCGUCAUCCCACAUGUUCUUCUAUGCCGAGGAAAUUUCAACCCUCAGGAUUUUCUGUUUCUCAUUCUUCCUCCGAGUCAUGAAUAUGCAGCAACCAAACUGUGUCUCGAAGGUACCUUCCUCAUCAUCGAACACAACCCUUUUCCAUUGGAUGUGAAGCUCGAAUAACCUCGUGAGCCCAUCAAUAUUGAUUGGCCCACCAAAUGUGCGCUGGACCCAGUAAAACUUGGAGAGUGCAACAAAGGAGUUUGGGGUAAGAUGAUAAAACCUAGCCCUAUACGGAUCCAGAAUCCUUGGAAACUCCUUGUCACACGGAAACCUUAGGCCCGUGGUGAAGAAGUCUCUGAACACCACAACCUCACCUACCUUAGGCGCUGGCACAAUCUCGUCACUUGGAGGCCUAGCAAUACCUUCGGGAAAAUAACCCUUGCUAACAUAGAAAUCUAUGGUAUUCUUUGAAACCAAAGAUCUCCCGAAUAGCAGGGUGGGAGGAUAGACUUCCUUGCCAGCCAUCAUGUCUGAGGGGUCCUCCUCGAUGUUGGAAAGGUCCUCCCCGCUAUCGGCAGCAACCUCGACAUCAACCUUGUUUGUGGUAACCUCGUCAGCAACGCCCUCACCAGCCUCAACCAACUCGAGGUCUUCUCCAGCCUCAGUGCGAAGCCUCGACUGUUCAGCAAAUUCCUCGACGGUCAUAGGCCUCGUAGUUUGCAUUAUACGAGCCAGCUAAGCAACGAUCAAAUAUCAAGUUAAAAUAAAAAACAAUAAAGCAAAACAUAAAAAAAAGUAAAAUACAUAUAAGAUCGUUACCUUCGAGACUUUGGAGAUCAAGGCAGACAGCAUGCAACACACAAAUCUCAAAGCAACUAGCAACACGCAAAAGCAAGUAGUGAGCGAAGUUUCAAGAUGCGAAGGUAAAUUCGAAAGUGACCUAAGCCCCCCCCCCCCCCCCUCUUUUAUAGGCACGGUAACGGACGCAAAAUGACACUUUAAACCUCGAGCCGAAUACGAAGCGUCAUCCAAUAAGAAAUUGACACGUACGACUUAAAAGGUAAACAUUGCCUCGUUUCUCCCUGACCCUCGAGGCUGACGUUUUUUGGGAGAAGCAAUCCUUAAUCGUGGGUUCGGCCCGUCGGUGUCGACCCUCACCCACAAGGGGCUACUGUUGGGGAUCAUCCUAAAAGACGGUCACCCUCAAGGUCGUCUCUUUGGCAUGAGCCAACUUGCAUUGUGAAAUCUUUACCUUCGGGUGAAGGUUGCUAACUUCAUGAGACUAGUUUGGCAUAAAAACCAUAUCAGCCUCGCACCAUCUCCAUAGCUCGAGUCUCGAAGCUAAGGGAUAAUUGCUAAUGGCUAAAAUGUGACAAAGCUUACCCUCGGGUGCUCGAAGCUAACCUCUAGCGACGAGUUUUUCACUAUGUUUUAUUCAGGAUUACUAGAAUAAGCGCGCUAAGGCUCAAGGCACGAGGCUAGGCGUCUUUCUCAGUACAAGGAUGAGAGAACUUCAAGCAUAGGUAAAGAGGUUUGCUGGAACAAGGCUAAAGGCACAAGGGCGUGAAAAGCAUGACUACAUGGGGGUGUUGGAAACGUGAACCCCCGGUGGCGUGAUUAACAUGACUACUCGCUAGCGUGAAAAGCGUGACCCAAUAGAAGAGACCAAGUCGAAUAAGUUACCUCCAAAAGACCUUUAUGUACAGUACAUUUUAGGAAUGUAAUAGUUGAGAUAGGAUAAUCUUGGAAUGUAUAGUGACCCGGUAAAAGGGAGCCCUACCCGACAUAAAGUGAUGAUCUUUUUUGAGAACUGAAUCACGAGUGCCAACUCUACAUUGUUGUAUUCGUGUCUCCUUAAGAUUUGUUUCCAACAUGACUUAAGGCAACGGAUGCAUGCUUAUCAAUACCAAAGACUAUCAUAUAUAUAUUCUACUCCCCUAUGCCUUCGAUGGCAUUCAAAACAUAAUGUUGCAUGGAUAGUAAGAGUAACUUGUGUUCCUCUUCCAACACUGAAGCAUUAGAGGAAACCAAAAAUACCACGAAGAGCAUUGACUUGUUUACCUGUGUGCGGGUAGCACAACCAAGCAUGCAUGUAGCGAUUAGAGGAACUCCCAUUUGCCUUUUGAGCAUUUUGGGAGACCAAUUUGAUCGGUUUUGCUAGACCUGCCACUUUUGGACCCCAACAGUUACUUCUUGAGUUUCUUUGGCAGAGGUUCUAUUCACAAUCUUGUGGCUAUGUAACUAUCUCUACUAGUCAAGAUGACACAACUAGCUUUGUGGUGAUGGUGUUCUAUUCUACCCUUAUAUUUCACUGUAUUUACCCACCGCUACCAUGUCUAGUGUUGGAAUUAAGCUUGUGCAUGUCUGAUUUACGGUGCCAUUGCAACCGACGGGUAACCAUGCUAGUGAUCGGAGACAUUCGAGUUGUUGCUUGUCCAGUUGUCCAGCCAUAAUCAUUUAAACCAAAAAAACAAAAAAUCUUAUUGCCGCUGGUUCAAUACUGACAUCCGCUGUGGUGUCAGGCGGGAUGGCACCGCCCGAGGUCGAAGCCUUCAUCGGAGUCGGUGUCAACUCCGGCGCCACGCGGCAUGUCAGCCCGAGCGCUCGUCGGCAGGGCGGGCUUCAUAAUUUUAAGGGUCUUUGGGUAAGCAAACUAAUUUUGAUAUAGUAUAUAGUAUGAGUAAUAAAAAUUACUUAGCCAUACAUGUAUAGCUCAUAAAACAUAACAAUAGUGUAACAAAAAACUAAAAAUAAUAACCAUUAUGAUAACUUCAAAUAAAAAUAAUGUUUCAGUGUUUCGUAAAAAACCGUUUUCGGGCAUUUCUUAAUGCAAAAUCUUCAAGUAAUGUCGUCCAAAACAUCCUUCUCAAUGCUGCACAUAGCCAAACCAUUCAAUCUUUCUUGUAACAUAGUUGAUCUCAAACUUACGUAGAGAACCUCUCUGCGAUUCUACGAACUGUUCUUUUUAUUUUUCUUUUCUUUUCUGAGCACUCGACAAAUGUUUCUUAGGAAACAUCUAUCGUAUUCAAAUAAGUACAUUGAAUUAGAAAUUUUAACCCUAACACAAUCAGUAUAAGCAUAGUGUAUAAAAAAUAAGAAAACAAUUGGAAAAACUAAUCAAUUGGUGUGUUGCUUACUGUGACAAGCGAAUCGGAUUGGUGUCCUUGCUGUUAUCGGUCGCCGCCUCGCUGGGUAAGGAGUCAAUCGACGUGGGCGUCUUCUCUCCUCAACCAGAGCAUGUUGAUGGGCACGCAGAGUCAUGGUGGCAGGAAACGAUCAGACGAAACGUUGCCUGCGGCCUGCCCUCCGCUUGAUGGAUCAAGUUAAGUAGAAUAGGUCUGGAAGAGAGAGUUACCUACGGCAUGGGCUACUUUGUGAUAGGCCUUCAAAUGCUUAUUAUGCCAAAUAGAAAAUUGUAUGUACGAAUUACCUAUAUGAUCUUGCCCCUCACCUCCCAGCUCCAUAACCCCCGGCGGUCGCACUGCUUCCCCCCCUCCCCCCACCCCACCCCCCACCCCCACACACACACCCCUCUGAGCCGGGCCUGCUGGCAAAGCCCGACGAGGCUUACUAAAGCAUCCGUGUGUAUACCAUCAUUUAAUCACUUAAUCUCAUUUUUCAAUUUCCUUCAGGUCAUAUGACGUUGCCACCCGGUAAAAUGAAACACUGAUGCAUCGUGAAAAGAGCUCAUGGUUCCGGAAUGAGCACUUUGUUGGAUGACCUGCACUGCUUACAAGAGUGUUAUGUAUAAACACUCCCAUGCCUUGGAUGCCAUUCAAAAUGUUACCAAACAUAUGUAGAGUAACCUGCGUUUCUCUUUCAAGCAGCUAUUUAUGAAGUAUUGGAAACCAAAUUACAUGCUUUCACUUGUGUAGCUGAAUGCAUCCACGACAAUUCGACGAGUCAUAUCAGCAUAUUCUUCCUUACUGUGCCCUAUUGAAAUAUUUCUCACAGUCUGCUACAAAAAUUAGGGCCAACAAACAAUUCUAUAUAAGAUGGCGCGAGCCAUAACAGUUGGUGUGGUUACUGUAUCAAAGCUUGCACUAAACGCUGGAAUUCGGCCCAUGGUGCUAAUAGUAUACACGAUCGUGACGGGUACGGAUGGCCAUGACGAUGUAUCUGAGAAAAGAGCCUCUGGUUCUUGCUGACUUGAUCGAUGGCAUGAUCAAUGACACGAUCAAGUUUGCUACCUAGCUGGAUCUGGAUAAGAGCACAUGUGUAAUGUGGUGGUGCGGCACCAAAGUGUGGUGCUCGUUGUCAACCAAGCCAUCAAUCAUGAUUUUUUUAAAAAAAAAUGUCGGAUACAAGAACUUUUGUAUCUGUUUGACCUUGUUCAUCUUUACUAUACAUCACAACCAGCUACACAUGCAAACUAGAUAAUGCAAUCUUCUACUUGUUAUGGAGCCUCCAUGUUAAUACUCAUAAGAUGCGCUAGAAAAAAAAGAUAAAUUCUUGAAAUUCACAUAAAAAUAAAAUAAAAAUAUGAUCACGUUUAUACAUAUAUAGUGGCAUAAGUUUAGCCACUUCUUCGUUUUCUUUGCUUCAUGUCUCACACGACAUUGCUGGCACGAAGCAAACAGAACACUGAUGACUAAUUAAGAGAUGAACAUUGUAAAGUGAACUCACGAUCCGGAGUGCACUCAUGAUAGAUGAAGGAUGCAUGAACAGUUAUUGGACGACUUGCAGCAACGGUUACAUGCUUGCAAGCUAGAUAAAUACCAAAGACUAUCAUAUAUACUCUCAUGCCUUUGUUGCCGUGCAAAUGUUACAUGGUAGUAUAGUAUUAAGAGUAACUUGUGUGCAGGAUCUUUUUUUUUGUUGCAACUUGUUAAGAACUAAGAACUAUGAACUUUUUUUUUAAACAGUAAGAACUAUAUCAACUGAACUGAAUGAACGAGUGCCAGUGUCAAUUGUCUGGGCCAAGGGAAGGCCCGUUUACUGAGCUAAUGAGCCCGGCCUUUUUUAUUAGAGGCCCGUAGAACGAAUUUGGUCAGUCGGCGCGAUCCUCGGGAAACCUGUAUGGCUUCCGGUAAUUUUUUAGCUACUUGACUUCCAAUAUUGAGAUCCGGUGCAACUCUUCUCAACCGCACAGCAGUCGGAAUCAGAGCAGGCCCGCAUGCAUGCGCGCAACUGAUGGUGCAGGUUACCCAAUGAGUCAUGCUUUACUAGUUGGUGGGUCUUUCUUUGGAAUUUCAAACUUCAAACUACAUUUUCUCCCAAACCGUAAAUUUAUUUUUGAAUCCGUUUGAACCACUAUCUUGCUAAGAAUUAAUGUAACAUAAUCUUAUCUUACUAUUACUAAUUAGAGACUUCUUUUGAGGUCUCCACGUGAAGCCACCUAGGAUGCUAGGUGGACACUCUAGAAAAAUAGAGAAAUUCUAGAAAUUCUCACAAAAAUUAGAAAGAUCUAGCCAUCAAUCAGUUAGACUCUAAUUAUGAUUGCUAAUAAUAGCCACUAGAUCUAUUAUAUUUUGUAAAAAAUUACCACAUAUGCCAUUAUAAAAAGAACCUAAAGUAACCCUCUAAAUCUACGUAUAAAUUACCCACCUUUGCCACUAUGAAAAUAAUCUAACAUAAUCCUCUAAUUUCAUUUAAAUAACAAAAAUGUGCCACUAAAAAUAAUAUAAAGUAAAAAAUAUUAAUCCUUAAUCUCUAUCAAUGGAAGCUCAUAAAAGGAUGCCAUCAAUCCUCCUCACGCCUGUUCACGGGAAAAUAAAUAUAAAGAAAUCCUAAAUUUGUAAAAAAAUGAACAAAACGUAUAGCCUAUACAUCUCACGUAAAGGAUAUCUUCGUUAAUUUCUCCAACCCUCCACUUAAUCCACUUGAUCAACUACUACCGAUCUCAACAAGCAUUCAUCUCUCCUCCCCUAAAAUAAUACUGAUUGCAUCUCCUCUCCAUCAAAAUAAUUGGGGACUCUUUUUUAAAACCUCCACAUAAAGCCAUCUAGGAUCAUAGGUGGGCUCUUGAAAAAUAGAGAAGUCUUAGAAAUUCUAAAAAAAGUGAAACAUCUUGCUACCAAAUUCAGUAUGUUGUAAUCAACGUUGUUAAUAAUAGUUGUUUGACUAUGCUCUAUUUCUAAAAAAUUACUCACUUAUACCAUUACGAAUAAAUAGCCUAAAAUAAUCACAUGUUUCUAUAUCUCAAUUACCCACGUAUUCUAUUAAAAAAAUUAAUCUAAUAAUGUCCUACAGAUCCCAUUCAGCCUAAUUUAAAUAUUUUACGAAAAACCGAUACUUUUGUACUGCUCCCAUCAACUAGAAAUCCAAACGGUAAGUCAAGUCAUUUCUUUGUUGUUUUGGGCUAUUGCCUGCUUCCAUUUUCAUCAAUUGAGAGGUAAUGAAUUCUUCUCAAACAGUUAUUCCUGCCGAAUCUGUUUUAUGGGAAGAUUAUUUGUAUACCAUAACAUAUGUACAGAUAAAUAGGUCGAUUCUGCAUCCCUUGCGAAUUUAAAGUACGAAAUUCUACUUGAACUCUUAGUCCUACCAAAUCUAUAUACUAUAUCUGAUCAUUAUUUGUAUACCGUAACUUUGGUAUAAAAAAUAGCUUGAUUUUAUAUUCCUUCCAAACCUAUCUCGCAAGAUCAUCCUUCUUCUUGAAUUGUUUUGUACAAUGCCAUGUUUGUAUACCAUAACUUUUGUAUAGAAAAAUAGCACAAGUAGUGGAUCCAUCACCAUCUUGGUGAUGCAAUUGAACCAGUUACAACGGUGGCAAAACCUUAAGUGAAAUUAGACCAGGAAAGGAAUUUUAAAAAAAUCAAGACAACAGUAACCAGACUAUGGAAUGCAAUCUUUUGCUCGGUAGUAGAGAACAGUUAAGUCCUGACACGAUCCUUAUUGAUCUGUAGAUAUAAUUGUUGUUCACUAUGGUAGCACUUUUCGGAUUAUUUUCAGUUUAUAAAUUAUUAAUGAUGGUGAAAUUUAAGAUAAUCAGGAGUAAUUGAUGAGAGACGUACUGGGAGAACCAUUGCAAGUAAUGUUCCAAACAUACCAUAUUCAAUAUGUUACUAAUUACUCAACAUGUGGAUUAACGGUUGCUAUUUUGAAUGUAGUUAGCUACACGUUUGAAUUCCAAAACAGGGGGCCUCCCAUACGCCCAUGUACUCAAUUUUCUUGAUAGCUGUCAUAGUGGAAUACAAACUACACCGAAGAGAAGAUAGGAACCAUAUUGAUUUGCUUCCUGUUGUCCGGAUCUUUGAAAUAAAAAACAAAGUUAAUUGUACUUAGCAAUUUUAUUUCAAACAUAGUAUGCACUACAAUCUUCAAAAUGUAUAUUGAUCUUGCUCCCCAAUCAUGACAAGUACUAAAUAAUAUGUUAUGUAUUAUUUUUAUAUUAUUUAGAGUCCAUACUUUAAAUUUUUGUGAUCCUUCUAAUGAUUCCAUAAGUGUUAGAAAAUUAAUCAAAAAUAGAAAAUUUAAUUGGUUGUUCAUCUUGAUGAAAUUAAAUAAAAAAUACUAAUAUUUAUGUCACCUAAAAGUGUAGCCGUGCAGAACGGUUGAUGGACUAGUGAGAUCUAAUAUGAAUAUAUUUUACUAUUUUUAAAAAAUCAAUAUUUUGGACGAUCUAUCUCAACAUUUUAAUUUUAAGUAUGCUACUCCAACAUUUUUAAUUAGAUGUUGAAAUGGUUUAUUCAAAAUGUUGAAUGUAGUUUGAAAGAAUGUUGAAUCUAAUAAUUAAAAUGUUGAGUAUAUUAGUUUGAUAUUUUGAAUAUAUGAGGUCACAACGAAAGUCUAAAUAACAGCGCACGUUGCCUAUCCGUAGGCCUGUGCCCUCCUGCAUGCUACUGGCUGGCCUCCUCCCUCAUCCCCCGCUGGUGAUCAGCACGCGCUUUGAAGAGCAGCGCCGGCGGCAGCACAAACUUGGGAGGGUCUCUGCGGCGGAGCAUCAACCAUCACCUUUGAUCUGAUCUUCAGAGUUCAGUCAUAUAUAUAGUUCAGUUAACUUAAUGGUCAUGCGUCUGAAGGAAAACCGCAAUUAUUUUACAUUUUGAUAUCACCAAACUCCUGCCAAAUGCCUAAAUCCUUUUCAAACGAUGAUAAAUAUUUUCAUUUCAGGGCGGCAAAAUCUGAAGAGGCUCACUGUAUAUUGUACUUUAGUUCUACUAUCAGUUCAGCACCUUCUUCGUUUCCUUGAGGUCACACCACAUUAGAACCAGCAAUCAAAACACUUACGCCUCGUCAGAUCAACUCAUGGCUGAUGAAUGAUCCAUGAACAAUUGUUGGAUGACUUUGCAUCAACGGAUGCAUGCUUAUAUUACAAGCCAGAACAAUGCUCAAGACUGUCGUACUAUCAUAUAUAUACUCCCGUGGCUUGGAUGCCAUUCAAAAUGCUGCAAGAGGUAGAGCAACUUGUAGUUCUCUGUCGAGGUGUAAACGAGCUGUAUAUAUUGGGAGGGAGCUCUGAAAUGUUGGGCUAUUGGAGGUAACCAAAGUAUCAUCCUCAGCUUUGACCUGUGUGGCUUAGUUCAUUCUAGGUAACUCAGCGGGCGACGUGGGCAUAUGGCUGUGGUAUCUGGUAUUUCUGCUUGUUCGGACGUUUUACUGGAUUCACGGUAAGUUAAUCUUCUCAUGGUCUUUGUCGAGUACAACUGAUGUAACACGUCGACACAGUGUAUUGAAGGGGUCGAUCCUCUCUCAUUCUGAUCGAACUCUUGGAGAUAGCAUACCAGCAGCAAAAAUUCCUUCUUUUUCAAAUUGAACAGCAAAAACAAAAAUGAUACUGUGACAGAUAAAAGGAAUUUGCAGGAACAGAGAUAUCAUCUGUCGUUCAGUCGUGGAACCGCUGUGUUGCGUACUCGUGCCUGACGGAGCUCUGAAGUCGAACAAGACACUUGUGACAGAGAGCAGAGCUCCAAAAGUCCAAAUUCAGAAUUUCAGAGUCCUCUCUUGAUUUCAAUUUUCAAUACAAAGAUGUUUCUUCUGAUCCUGCUAGUCCUUCUGGAAAUCUGCGACAGCGGCGGCAUAAGAAUUUGAACCCGACGGAGCCAUACACUGUACAAAACGUAUGGUAAUUGUAUGUCUUCCUUCCAAAGUUCCUAAGUCAGCCAUGGAAGAGACAGGGCACGGAUCAAACAGAAAAUAGAGAGGGACAGACCCCGUCUCUGCUAACACUUGCCAAUCUCUGUGUUUUACGCUGGUCUUCUCUAGUUUAGCCAAUCUUCUCUAGUUUAGCAAAACUGACUAAACUCUCGGUGAACGAAAAAUUAAGGAUUUCCACGAAGCAGGACUCUCUGGGCCUAGCACAGGCCUAAACACCAAGCUGCUGAGCCCAAAUUUAUUCCACCAAUGUCUCCAUGAUGUGCUUCCUGGUUAGGGAUCAAGAACUGUCCUUUAUGACUUCAUCCGAUGCCUCGAUGGUGUGGUUAGCGACUUUUGCCUGACAGACUGAACUAUGUAUGAAGAGACAGUUCUGACAGACGUUAAAGCUUCAACAGAUACGCAGAGUGCUCAUGCAUUUUCUUUCUUUUUAAAAAUAAUAAAAAGCUACACUUCACAGGUGGGCAAUUCCUUCGCUAGGCACCCAAUUUGCUUGCAUUCCCGCCGAUGAUUUGGCUCCCCUAAUAUGGGCUGCACUGCGCGUGCGCCAUUUGAGGGAAGCCCAUCGGUUCAUCUCCUCCGUCUCGCACACACGGCAUUGGCACCCAACAAACCAAAAAAAAAAAAAAAUACUGAUGAGUCCUGAGAAGAGCUCGUUACUCCGGUAUGCACCCAUGAUAGAUGAAUGGUGUACCAACAUUUGUUGGAUGACUAGCACUGCUUACAAAGAGUGUUCUGUAUAUACACUCACAUGCCUAUGCCUUGAAUGCCCAGAGAUAGAGUACCACGUGUGUUCUCUUUCAAGCAGCUAGUCUGAAACUCACCCUUGGAUGAUGAGUAAUUGACAACAUUAUGUUGGAUUGAUGUUACUCUUGGCUUGUGAUGUGCAGGUGUAGGAUGUGACAUGGCGGCCGACGAUGUGCGGUGAAGGUCGAAUGAAAGGUUCAUGCCGGUGGACAAGGGCGGUGAAGGAUGAACGCAAGUAGGCUUAUCGAUGGACCCGAGGUGUCCAGGCGGAGUCAUGGGCGGUCCACAUAGUGCACGAAAGAGCGAGAGAACAUGACGGAUGGAGACGGCGUCGGUCAAGUCGAGCGGGAGGCUCGGCGAAGGCCGGACACGCGUCAACAUCGAGGAGAUCACGUGGCAGCCAAGCGGAGAUGGACGGUUUGGCUGGUUUGGGCCUCAAAACCACUGCGCAGGCAGGUUUCCUGGUUUGAGCCUCAAAACCAGGGGUGAGCCUGGUGCGGCCAGAGCUUCGAGAAGGAGGGCACGUGACGUCAUCGCGAAGUUUGCGUCGAGGCGAAGCAAAGUCGUGAAGGUGGCGUGUCAGUCGGAUGCGCCGAUAAAAAUAUGAACCAAAAUACCCCUGCGUUGGUGGUUAUCUUAGUUGAUGUUGUAGGGGUAGUUUGAUCAUCUGCCAAGGACUAUAUAUAUGGGUGGAUGGCUGGUUAUUUCAGAUCUCUUUGCUUAGGAACUCAAAAUUAUUUUUUUUCUUAGAGGCUAGUCAUGUGCUUAGAGAGAGAGAAAAGGGAGAUGAGAGGGUGAUUACUCUUUUCUCUUAAUUUCUUCAUCAUUAGUGGGUGGAUGAAGGGAGGAGGCUAGUCCUCAUCUUCUUAUAAAGAAUAUGUUCUCGUAAUUUAGCAUUGUUAGCUAUCUCAAAUCGUGCUAAAUCUUUGAUUCCCGAGUGUUUUUUUUCUAUUUUCGGAGCCAUUUUUGGGAUUUAUUAUUCUUCGUGUUUGAGCCCAAAUCUCGUAAGAUUGGUUGAUGGAAAAUGUUGCUAGGACCUUAGGGAGCAUCUUUGAUAUGAUCCCUUCCAAAUCCCUCACAAAUCCAACUUGAAUUUUGAAUUUCUCCCAAAACCGUGUUUGAGUUAGGGUUUCGGUUUUCUCCAAGAUUUGCGAUGAAUAUACUUAAGAUUUUUGAGAUUUGUCUCGUGGAUCCAUUUGCCCUUGAGGUAUUGCAUCCUUGUCUUAAGUUUCAUCUCGAUCCAUGGAGAUUUGAAGGAGGAUUUCUCGUUUGAAGAUUUGCAUGUUCUUGAGGCUGUUCUUGUGUUCUUCGGGUCGUCUCUGUUCUUUGCGCAGGUAUCGAGCGAAGCAGACACAAAGCAGCUGCACGUGAAACAGCAGGCCAGGCACACGGGCCGUCAGCGCAGCAGCAGGCGAGCGGGCCGACAGGGCGCGUGCGACGCAGCAGCAGAGGCCCAGCUGAGCAAACGAUCCAGGCAGGCCAUGCACGCGCAGCAGGCCGUCAGGUGCACCAGGCUGGCCCACGCGUGAGGCAGGCCCAGCACACAGGCCACAGGCCGCACGUCCAGCAGCCAGGAGCUCGUGGCCCAGGAGCGAAGCCCAGCGCCAACGAGUUGCAGGCACGGCCCAGUACCAGCGGCCCAGGCAAGCGGGCCAUCGCCGGCCGGCAGCAGCUGGUCCACCAGUGGCCCAAGCGAGCAGCAGCAGCGGCCCGCUAGCGUGGGGAGCAGGCCCAGCAAGGUGAGAAGGCCACAGUUCUAUCGUUCAAUUACUAGUCUGUGUGAUUUAAUCGCUGAAAUCACUAGUAAAUCUCUGACACCUUGUUUAGCUACUUGUUUAGUGUUUUGUCUUACUAAUCAUGCUUAGCUCUUUAAAUUAAUUGUUAAUCCUUCCAUGCCUAGUUAAGCAAGUGGUUAGUAAUAUCUUUGCUUAAAUCUUAUUUGUGCAAACUUGAUGGAGUCGAUUUAUGCUUUGCUUCCGCUAUGAGUUGAGCGUCUCCUAUUGUUCCUAGAGUGAGUUUGUCACGGGUUGACUAGUGUCAUCUUGACGCGAAGUGUGUUUUGAGUGGAAAUUGGGACAUAGGCCUUGUUCUCUUUGAAGAAUUUUAAAGGUUUCCAUUCACCCCAUCUGAUCGCUCUUUCGGUUCUUCAGAAACAUUUGAGGAAACCAAAUUAUGAGCUUUCACUUGUGUAGCUGAAUGCAUCCACAACGAGUCGGCGAGGCAUGUGGGCAUAUUGUACUUUACUUUUGCCUAUUCAAUCAUUUCUCUCACGAUCCACUACAAAAAUCAGAGCCAACAAGAGACAUGAGUGAUAAUAGCGGACAUGGUUACUCUAUCAUAGAUUGCACUAAACACUGGAAUGCGUCCUAUGUUGCUAAUAGUAUACGUGUUUGUAACUGAUAUGGAUAGACAUGAUGUAUUAUUUGUUAAAAGAUCCUCUGGUUCUUGAAUAGUUGAUCAAUGACAUGAGUUUGCUACCUGGAUGUGGAUGAGAACACAAGUGUAGUGUGGUGUCUAACUGUGGUGCUAGCAUGACAUGAUCAUGGUAGAUGAAUGAUCCAUGAAUAAUUGUUGCAUGACUUGCAUCAAUGAUCAAUGGAUGCAUGCUUAAAGCAACAAUACCAAAGACUAUCACACUAUCAUUUACCAUUCAAAAUGUUUCAAGAGGUAGAACUGUAGAACAACCUGUGUAUCUUGCUGUUAAGAUGUACUCUAAAGUAUUCAGCUAUUGGAGGUAACCAAACUAACAUUACAAGCAUGUUGGAGCUAGCUCGAAAAGCCAUGUGGGGAUCCGGGUAUGGUUUAUGAUGUUUCCAUCCGCUCAAAUUCUUCAGCAGUUUCUUUCGAGCAGAGUUUAUAUAAGAUGCAUGCCUCUGUUUGCGAAACACGAGUCUUUUAUUCACAUCAAUGUUUGUACAGGCAAGUUCUAUAAAAAAAUAUUUCAUUCACAUCCUUAGUGAAAGAGACGUUUGCCGUUUACCAAUAAAAUCUUAUGGUCAUCGCCAAUGCUGUAUCUGUGACAGAUAAAAGUGCAUUGCAGGAACAAAUAGAUCCUCUGUGGCUCUGUCGUUCAGUCGUUACUAGUUCCUGAAGCGUUAGUGUAAGGUCUGGUUUGGUUGCCUGACUUAUUUUUAAACACCCGUCACAUCGAAUGUUUAGAUACUAAUUAGGAGUAUUAAACGUAGACUAUUUACAAAACCGAUUACAUAAGUGGAGGCUAAACGGCGAGACGAAUCUAUAAGCCUAAUUAGUCCAUGAUUUGACAAUGUGUUGCUACAGUAAACAUUUGCUAAUGAUGGAUUAAUUAGGCUUAAUAGAUUCGUCUCGCCGUUUAGUCUCCACUUAUGUAAUGGGUUUUGUAAAUAGUCUACAUUUAAUACCCCUAAUUAGUGUCUAAACAUUCGAUGUGACAGGUGCUUAAAAAUAAGCAAAGGAACCAAACAGGCCCUAAAGAGACCGGAGAAGUAGUCGAGAUCGAGGCCGUUGUCUUGUAGUCGGUUCAGGCAGGCCCGAGGUCACAUUGUUGGCCCUGCUCGAAAAUGUUGCAAGAUGGGAUCGAAGCAGAUCAUUAUGCUCGAAAGUGUAUUUGCAUGGCUUUGUUCCAAAGUUCCUCCGUCAACCAUGCAAGAGUCAGUCUUUUUUUAGUGUGACUGAAUCUUGGCUGCAAGCAAAGCUACAGCCUGCAGGCUGCAGGUCACACGAUUCACUUGAUACAUGACUGAAUGGAAGGGAACAUGCCUAAACAUCUGAGCUGUCGCCGCCGGCAAGGAGUGUAUCCAUUUGUGCAGCCCAAUCACAAAUGCUCGUAUGGGCUACUUUGAAGCGGCAGCAGCAAGACUGUUGCCGAGCACCAAAUGUCAUUCUUUAUCCGAUCUUCAGAAUUCGGUCAUGUAAUAAUUCAGUUCACUCCUUGACUUGAUGGGUGUGGUUUGCGAAACGAGAUCAUGAUUCCAGAGUGCACUCAAUCACCCAUGAUGAAUGAAUGAUUGAUUAGCAGUUUGCUGGAUGCCAUUGAGAAUAUUACAAGAGAUAGAGUAACCUGUAUCACCGUAAAAAGCAGCUGUACUACACAUAAGCCAGAGAACUCUCAAGUAUUAGAGGAAGCCAAAUUACUAUGAUAAGUUUUGACUUAUGUAACCAAAUGCAUGGAAGUCAUGAAGGGAAUAGUUUAGCGGCAUCAGCGCGUGGGGAAUAUAUAGUUUAGCGGCAGGGGCCCAGGACACAGUGCAGGGAAUCAGAGUUCUCGCAAAGAAAACCUUUCUCCGUAGAAUUGCUCAAAGAAUCAUAGAGAAUCACUUUCAACCACAUAAUUACUUUUCUGCAAGAAUCAACCCCCGCUAAAGAAUCAGGAGCAGGUGGACCCUAUGUACACGGGAAGAACAAAGCAUGCAUAAACAUGUCUGCCCUUUAUCGAAAAAAUAAACAUGUCUGUUAAGCUGAGACUAAUGCCAGGGCUUGUCCCGGGUGCCUUGGAUUUGUCAAGAAAUUGCAAGGACCCUUCACAGUUGACAGGGAGUAAAGAAAUUGCUUUGAUUAUCCAGGACCCUUCACAGUCAACACGGACUAAAGAAAUUGUAUUUAUUAUCCAGGACCCUUCACAGUCGACAAGGACUAAAGAAAUUGCACUGAUAUUUCAGGCUGUGCUCAAUUAGUUUCUACACUGAUAGGCAUACCGCAGACCUUGACCUCGUGCCUGGCCGUGGUUCUCUGGACAAACAGAUGAGGCCGAAUUCAAUGUCCUUGUUAGGUGCAACGUGCAAUCGUUACAGUCGCAUGGGCCACGAAUGAUAGGGUUCCAUAGUGACCUGUUGGAAAUUGGAAUCAAUGCAACCAGGGAGGAAAUUGGAAAACGUAUAUACAAAAACAUGCUGGCAUGAGACCAUAAGAAAUUCUCUUGCAGCAGAAUGACUUCUCUGUUUUUUUUUUUUUGCCUUUUUCCACAAUAUUAAGGUCAAACUCGUAUUUCAAAGCCAACAUGGACUUGCCGGCGGCCGCACCUACUCCUUCAUGGAAGAGGCGUACAGAUAAGAGCAAGUAAUCAAGAGAACAAGUGCAUGGGAGAGCAUUAUAUUGUAUUUGUCCAGAAAUUGGAUUAGUAUGUCCAGAACUCACGAUAGUGACCGGAGAAAAGGCAGCAAAACGGAACCGGAAACGAUGGGGAGACCUUGGCCUUGACCUCGAGUCGUCGACUGGAGACUGGAGUGAGCACGUGAGCGGGGCCAGGAGCAGGACGUGCAGCGACCAGCAAGCAUUGAGUUUGGUGGUUGAGCAGCGGGGCCACUGAGCGGUGAUGCAUUAUUACCUUCAAUUAUUAAUUGCCUUCCCCUUCCCCUGCAUCCGCAUCCCAUCGACCUCUGCUUCGUGCGAUUCCAAGGCGGUUGCGAGCGGUGAGCUGUGUUGCGGCCGAGCAAGCUUGAAUCAAGCAACCUCGGUCCGGCGACGAGCGGCUGGCGGCGCGAUCCGGCAAACCAGUGAGUCCUAGCUGUCGCACUCUUGUUCUUCAAUCUUCUUCAUGCCCAUCCAUUCCCAAUAGGCAAUAGCUACAGCCUACGAAAAGGCAGGUCGAGCACCCCCAUCCGAAGGAGCCCAAGCGGCCAUCCACAAAGAGAUAAAGUCACGAGACCCUAUCGUUAGCUUCUCUCAUCAAUUAAUAUGAUUUCUGUCGUUAGCUUCUCUCCAUCUGAAUUAAGCUGUUCAAACGAUGUCACAAUUUGAUUAAUGAUUUGAAUUUUAAUGGUAGAUCGUCAACAACUCAAAUGUCGAGAAAAACAUCAAUCAUACAUCAUUCAGUUUCAUUUUAGUACUAGCAUACAACCUUACUCAUUGCUCUUGCCCAGGGACAAAUCCAUGGAGAUCGUGACAGGGGCAAUUCCAAGCCUCCUGGACAAGCUCAGUGAGUUGCUAGAUGGCGAGUACAAUCUGCAAAAGGAGGCUAAGGGAGGGAUCAAAUUCCUUCAAACUGAGCUCGAGAGCAUGCAAUGUGCCCUCGAGAAGAUCUCGAGGACACCAGCAGACAAGAUUGACGACCAGGACAAGAUCUGGGCUAGGAAAGUGAGAGAGAUGUCCUACGAUAUAGAGGACAAUAUUGACAAAUAUAUCGUGCAGUGCAAGGGGAGGAAGAGGAAGAGGAAGACGGACGAACAGCAUAGCUUCAAGGAAGCUAUUGAUAGGUUCCUCGAAUGGUUAUGGCAGCCUAUGAUUCGUCGUAAGUUUGCUACAGAAAUCAGAGAGAUCAAGAGCCGUGUCAUCGAGGUGCACGAGCGGCGCCGCAGGUAUGAGGUCAGCCUUGGUGUUGACAAGCCUGUAACUGUGGACCCUCGUUUAUUCGCUCAGUACACGGAGGUCAAAGAGCUUGUUGGAAUUGAUGAGGCAAGGGAUGAGUUAAUCAGCAAGAUUAUGAUAGAAGAGAAUGAAGUUCCCAAGAAGCAAGGCAGGAUAGUUUCAAUUGUUGGAUUUGGAGGUCUGGGAAAGACAACUCUUGCCAAUACAGUGUACAAAAAGAUUAGAGCACAAUUUGAUUGCUAUGCUUUUGUUUCUGUUUCUCAAACUCCUGACCUGAAGAAACUGUACAAAGGCUUGCUAUAUGAUCUUGGCAAGAGCAUCAACGAAGAAACAUUGGAUGAGAGGCGACUCAUAGAAGCACUCACAGAAUUCCUUGAAGACAA